rnacentral:lncRNA from 1 species
CAAAAUGUUAAAGAACAUGAUAGUAAGACAACCUUAAUUAAGAUGGGAAGAGGGUUUUGAGAGGGACUAAAGAUACACGAGAGAUUGAAGUUGUGAAGAUUGACAUGCUAAUAAUCCUCAUGAGAAGUAGUUUAUUUAUAUCUUGAAGAUAUGUUGCAGCGGUGCCCUAAAGAUUAAUGACUAUAUAGUUUUGUUUUCUGAUUAAUAUGAGAGUCUCAACAUGUAACUCCAACUGUAGAGAACAAGAUAUAUGGUACUCUCUUUUUAUUUUUAGUGAACAAAUGUUUCAGUUUGGUGGGAGGGUGGAGGAGGCGGGCGCGGCCGCCACAAUGUUUAGUGAAGAAUGUUUGCGGCAUUCCUUAUCACAUUCUUCAGGCGUGCGAUAGCAAUAGUAUUUGGGAUCCGCAAAACAACACCAACAAUAGCCAUCAUUGCAUUUUGGAAUUAUUCUAGGUGGUCCGCACAAUCCAUAUGGUAGAUUGAUCUUCCUGUUACCUAUGUCUUCGAUACUCCCACCUAGAGAAUAUAAACAAAUUAGAGCAACAUAUAUAUAUAUAUAUAUAUAUAUAUAUAUAUAUAUAUAUAUAUAUAUAUAUAUUAUGGGUGCAACUAUAUAUAGAACUAUUCCAUAAAUGUUUAUUUAAUCAACAAACAAAAAAAGGAAAAUAUGAAACAACAACGAAUAAAUGGCAAUUUUGCUAAUAGCAUAGCCAUUUUUCAAUAUACAUGAAAAAAUAUUAGACAUAACUCAUGAUAAUACAAAACUAAACAAUGUAAGUAUACAGAAACAAAUUUUCAUCAUAUAUCGUGUUACUUACAUUGAACAUGAGCACCAAAGCAAACAAGGAGAAGUAUCGAGAGUGGCACUAGUAGGGGCACACGUUCCGUGUACUUCUCCAUGCACAUAGACUUGAAUUACUUUAAACAAUCAGUGCUUUUGGAGGCCCAAUAUGUGUGUGCUAAUCCAAGAAUUAGCUGGCGAUUGCUAGCCACAGCGUUCAUUCUUAUAUAUAGAGGCGUAACAAAAUAUUUGUCAGGAAUGGAGCCAAUUAGUUAUCAUUUAUAAUUUUCUAAGUAAAUCAAAGUUGGUGAUGAACAAUAAAUCUCAGGCUCCUAAUUUUGGGGCGCAUUGGUGGCCCAAAGUUUAAAAGACUACCCAAGAAACGCUCGCAAAUGCACAUUUAAUUUCUAAAUGUAAUUACACAUUUAGUAACCUAACAUUGCUCCAUACGGAAACCAUAUCCACGCAGAAGAUACACUUACGAACUACUUCAAAUGCAAAGGAAAUCCAAACUGUACAUCCAUACGGUGGACAUUAAACAAUCGCAUAUCGAUGGCCAUGCUUACAAUACACUAAAGAAUUUAAGGCCCACAUUGCUGCACCCACCAUUUUCGCUCUAGAAUAUUAUGCAAAUAUAUGGACAUUUAAUAACCUAGAAUUGCUCCAUAAAUAGAACAUAUCCAUGGAGAAGAUUUUUCUGUCUGUCCAAUUUUUGCUUCGUAUGUUACGCAAAUACAUGGAUAUUUAAUAACCUAAUAUCGCUCCAUAAAAUAAACCAUAUCCAUGGAGAAGACUGAUAUAUCCAUCCAUUUUCGUUUUCUAAUAUUUGGGAUUGAUGCAAAUAAAUGGAGGCAGUUUACUUUAUAAUAAAGUAGCAAACUUGCACGUUCUUUACAAUAGGAAAAACAAAUCCUUGCACACGAUCUUGUAAUUUGUGAGCGCGCUGCUAUUGAUGAUAUAAUCGCCCUGACGUUUAGAUGUGCAUGCACUUGCGCUUUGUGCUUUACUAUGGAUGAAGCGCCAGACUCAAGUCCUCCUCCCGAGUCGAGCGAGGUGGGCUUCUACAGUUCUACCUGGGGCACAGGCUUUAAGCAAAGUCCUUGACAAAAAAGUCAGUGGCUAGAAAAAUGCAUAUGUAGUGCAAAUGAUAUUUUUGAAAGGUCCAGCAUUGUUGGCAUUCAUUGAUUUAGGAGGAGAGAAAAUAAAACAUUGUUGAUGAAGUGAUCGAAGGAAGAAACAAGAGAAGGGAAAGAGAUAGAAUGAAAAUGCCUGUAGGCAGAGCAACUACUCUAUAUCUCAAAGUGAAUCCCAAAGGGGCUCUCCAAUUUUUUUCCUCCUACAAGCCUCUAUAGCUCAAGCGUUGAUCUUAUCGACUUUAUCACAUCCUCGUUUGAUGGAUGGUUCCCCAGAAGAAACAGUUGUUGCGCUCCUACCAUAUCUCCGAGGCAAUAAUGAUGAUCAUAGACUUGAUUCUUCUUCUUGCACGGCGCGGUGCGCUGCAAUUGAUGAUGGAAGAGGUUGCCUUUGUUGUUGUUUUUUCAUUUGCCAAAAUUUUCCUGCGUGAGUGCACCACACCCAUUCCAGCUCGUGUCUGGUUCUAAAUGGCCACUGACGCACUACAACCCCAGAAGAGAUGGAAGGAGGACUCGAGAUUCCCGAUGCAUAGGUGGCAGAAGUAUCCAUUGACCCAACCGCGUCAUUGCAAACAGUCGUUGCACCAUCACUACUAGGGAAAAGCCUAGCAGCAGCGCGGCUUUUCGACCUUUUAGUAGCGCGGGGGCCGGCGCUACUAAUAAGGCGCUACAGCUAACGUAUAGCAGUAGCGCUGGUCCACCCGCGCUACUACUACAAAAGUGUUGCAGCAGCGCGCUUAAAGGAACCUCGCUGCUGGUAAUAGCUAUAGCGCGCUUCCCCUGUGCGCGCUACUGCUACAACCGCGCUGCUGCUAACUUUUGUCCACUCGCUACUGCUAAUUUUAGUAGUUUUUUGUUUUUUUUCCGGCAUAUUUGUUUUGUAUUUGAACAGGCUUUAUAGAAGAAUCUUUAGCACAUACAAAUGUCAUCAUGAUACACAUACAAAUGCCUGCGAGACCACAAAUGUAAUCAUAGCAUAUACAUACAAAUAGUCUCGUCAUAAUCAUCAUCCAACACAAAGUGGUAUCUUGUCAUCAUCUCGAAAAUAGCGAUACAUGCAAGUCUUGAAUACUUGCAACUACAACGUCAUCCAUCUAAACAAAGGUAUACGCAAGAUGAGCUAUCACUUAUGAGUGAGAGCGGAACUAUGCAGUACAUGAGAUGACGGUUACGAGUCCUCUCUCGCGCUAGCGUGAACCUCAAGUAACUAGCUUCUCCUUCUUGUCUGCUUUUGAAGCCUUUAUGGCUGGCGUCCGAGAACCCAUUCACUUGCGCCUGACACUCAUGCCACUCGUUGUACAUCCCCGGAACCUUCCCUUUGUACACGACAUAGCAGUUCCAUCUCGCCAUCAAGAAACUAGGUACCUGUUAGAGAUGCAUGUUCAUGAAGAGGAUGUACAAUCAUAUAUAUGCAACAAAAUAUACUAGAGAACACCGAAAAAGAAAGGGUUAGCAACUAGAUGCAACAUACAGUACGCAAAUUAAUUAACUAGAGGUACGCAGGUCAUCGUACGCAAACUAACAAAGUAGCGUUACGCAAGUUCGGCAGGGAUCAUGGACAUCACAAAGUUGCAUCGCUACAAAUAGUAUACAAGUUCAACCGACACAUAUCAUCAUCAUCGGCAUCAUAAAUCACUAGAAGUUCCAUCCUUCCGUAUCAUCGAGGAUGGACCCUAGCUUCUUGAACGGCGUGAGGUCUAGACGUUGCAUGCCUAUGCGAGUUCGGACGUCAGCUCGCGAUAUAGGGCCGUGGUGGAACAUCCCCUUCUCAUCGACGACUUCUUUCAUGAUGAUCAUCGCAAUGUCGCUUUGGAUGCGAAAGAAGUCAUCUCUAAGUUUAUAAUCCGCUUCUCCAUGAGAUUCUAGCCACUUGUGGAUAUGAUAAUCAUUUCUGCUUCUCAUGCGAAGCUUUUGGUGAUCCGUGUUGAACUGAAUCAUGAGAUGGAGGAUGUAUAAUCCAUCCUUCUUGCUUUGUUUUGGGACUUGGAUGCAGGAGAAGUUAGUUUUAUGCGCGCAACCCAUCUUCUUGUUCCUUUGUUUCCUGAUCUGCAUGUGGCCACCUCUAAAGUUGAAGCCUUGGAGAGCAUCAUCUAGAAUAUUCAUUAUGUGGGUGCAGUCUUUUUUCUCGUAGUCUCUGGAAGGGUCAAAAUACACGGCGUGGGAGACUUGCGGAUAAAGAACGAUAAGGACGGCGCGCCCGUUGCUGCGGGGAAAAGACACCUCAAAUUAUUCCCCAUAGAGAGAGAAGGAAUGAUUGAAAUGUAUGACAAGGUUGUUCGAAACUGACUUACUUUGGAUGAUAAGGCACGAGGACAAUUUCCCGGUCCUUAUUCUGUACCAUGAAGUUUUGGAGGUAGUCCCUAGCAGUUUCACGCUCAAAGUCGCCGAGACUCAAGAAAGACUCGUGCAUGUAGUACGGAUCCGCCACACAGAUUUGUGAGACUUCUUCACUGUUCAUGACAGAGCUCAUAUGUAGCGCAAAAAGGCGGACGAUCGUAAAAUCGAGCUUCCUUGUCAGAAACAUCUCAAAGAUAUGGUCAAACCGCAGGAAGAACACCUCCGCGGGCCGUGUCUCGACGUAGCACUUCCCCUCAGGCACACGAGCCGCGUAUGUCGGAUAUCCUGGAUCCUUUGAGGCUAGUAGGCUUUUCUCAGUCAACAGCACAUGGUCGUGCAGUCUCCUGAGAUCCCCUGAUAGUGCCUCCAGCGGUUUCAGCGGUAGCAUCGGCUUGCCCGUGAGAUGGAACAUGGCCGCACCUUUCACGGGUACACGCCGUUCAGAAUGCAUCGUUUGGCUGCUAUGUGCUCUGGCUUGUUUGGAGGCAGCUAUCUUCCCCGAUCUCUUUCUCUCCUUUUUCUUGGGCACACCUUAUAGACCGUUCCUUAACCCCUGCCCUAGUGUUCCGGGGCUAAGUACUGUACGACCCUCGCGCUGGGAUAGUUGAGCCUGUGUUGAGGCGGCAUCUUCAAGCGUGUCCUGUGAGGAUUUCAUGAAGAGAGACUUUUUGCAAUCCCUGUUACGACCUUCCUGCCCGGGCAUAUCAUCCAUAUCCUCAUUAGCAAGCUGAUAGCCCGAUUCGUCAUAUGGUUGACUCAUCAAUUCUAUGUCACAGUCAUACGCAUUUGUAUUGAGGAAAUCCAUAGGGUCGACCUCCGUCUCAUCAUCCAUUCUCUGUUCUACAGGACAAAUUACAUCAGCCAGCACUAUUGCACCCCCUUCAUCAUGUCGUCCGCUGCUCUCACCCAGCACUACAGGAGCUGGUAAUUGCGUAGGCGGGGUGGUGGUCUCCGCACAUGCUUGUUGAUGUGUGGUUAUUAGUGUGAUCUCGGCCGGCUCCAGACGAAUAAGAUUCUUCGGCCAUAGCAGCACCCAACCCUUGCAGCUUCCAAUCCACGGCGGGGUCUCAUCUUCCGCUCCCACAUGCUGUACUGGAGGAGGCAAGGGGUCCAUUAUCAUCCCCUUUCCCACAUCCACCUUCUGGCCUUUGAUCAAGUAGAGUAUGGUGCACGGGGUUUCUUUCGCCUGCAAACACAUAUGUCUGUGGCGUAAAACAUCCGAAAGGCAAAAAAAUGGAAUAUUAUAUAUAUAUAUAUGGUGGUGCGACAUGUAAUUACCGUGAUGGUGUCGAGCUCAGCCAAAAACGAAGGCCCACCGAGCGCGCCAGAGACUGAGGACGGGCUACUAUGAGCGGGAGCGGCUGUGAGAGGAGGCCCGGUUGCGUGGGCAAGUGAUGGUGCGAUGAUGUUGUUGUUCAUGGAGUUGCUCCCGUUGAAACUGGGCAACGGGAAAUCAUGUACCGUCUUGUCUGGAUUUUCCUUCGUCCAGUUGAUGAUAACUGGAACCAAGUUAGUAGUGAAAUCAUUUCUGCAGGCAGUUACAGCUGCAUUGACUGCCUGCUGUAACAACUCAUAUUUGUCCUCGGCUGCUUUUUUCGCGUCCUCAGCUGCUUUUUUCUCGACCGCAAGCUUCAUCUUCGCGUCAAUGUCCGCCUGACUAAACUUCUUUUUCUUCUUCUUGGCCUCCGGGCCCUCGUUGUAAAACACCUUCCACGUGGCGCCAUCUCCAGCGCCGUGCACACGACCAUAUUGCGGCCGCUGGCCCAAAGGGAGUCCCUUAAGUUCGUUCAAGGCCCGGUUGAGAGGGGUGUCCCACUUGGGCCUCAUCGGAGAAGUAGGGUUUUCGGCUGCAAGCUGGUGUUGCUUCUCCAGUAGUCUAAUCAAUUUCCUCGUGAUCUUGUCUGUGUAAAAAACCUUUUUCUCCUUGUCCCACUUGUAGCGGGCCCUGAUGAAGUCAUGCUCCAAGGGGUUGGUGAACUUCGUGAAGGGGUCUGGGAGACCCACGGCUUCAUGUUUCGCGUCCUCCUUAUCCCAUAUGGGCCUUUUACCGAGGUAGCUACGGCUUCCGAGGCGAUGCUUCCCCGUGUUCCUUUGCUAAAGGCUCUUGAAUUUCGAGCCUUAGCCUUGGCGUCCUCGGUAGCGCAAGUGUCCUUGAACUUUUCGAACUCCUCUUCCGUAAGUGUCGUAUUUUCCUCCAGAAUCUUGGACAGGGGUUCCUAAGCCUCAAUAGCUCGUUUUACCCUCGAUUUCCAGGAGGCCAAAUCAUUGUUGAACAUACCCAUGGCGUGAUUGUUAAUCUUUUUCAUCUUCGGAUCAUCCCACAGUUGUUCUAUGUUAUCAUCCCGAUCGGGGAACUUGAAUCUCUUGUGCAACUUCGUUAGGAGCAACUGCGUCAAAUGUUCUUUACUCCUUAAGUCAUCGUCAUUGAUGCUCGUGCAUUCCCGUAGGAUGCAUCCUACUUGGUUCCCAUAGCACUUGCGAGGUUCUUCCGGCUCUAACGGCUCAAACUUGCCAGGUGCCAUCUUUGUGAUCACAAGUCGUCCAAUCCCUAGUUUGUUAGGUUUUCGUAUCCUCUGCUUUUUAUGCCUCUUUUCGGUACCGGCAUCGGCGCCAGUAUCUUCCCCGGCGGUACCUUCCCCACCGGUCUCGGCGCCGCCAUCGGUGCCGGCACCAUCGGUGUCGGUGUCGGCAUCAGUACCAUCAUCGAGGCGGACCUGCAAACCUUGCUUAGCAGUCAAAAAGUCGAGGUAGUCUUGUUCACCCUCAUAAUCCAUCUCGUCUGCAUCUUGGUCAGAAGGCCCAGUUUCUUCGUUAUUCGACAUGUUUCCUAUGAUUAAGUGUCCUCAUUUAUUUCUAAAAGUAUGAAUAAAUGAGAAAUGAGAUAAAAAAGAAAUCUAUGUGCCAGCACUCGAUAUGCCAACUAUGUAGCACAAAUCAUGCCUUUAUUCACGGGAAAUUUCGGCAUGACCUUUGUAAAAAAUGGACAUAUCGAGCGCCUGAAAUUCACCGGAACGGAAAUGAAUCAACAUUCCGGCGUAACAUAGGCAACUCGGAUCAUUUACCAAAACAUGACAUAUCCACAUAUCACAUGUCCAGUUCAAAUUUGCAUAUAAAUUCAGCAAAUUUUGAAACCUAUCUAAAUUCAUAACUAAAUAGAUAACCUAAUUAACAUAACUAAAACCUAAGUAAAUUAACCCUAGCUAGCAGAGAGAGAGAGAGNNNNNNNNNNNNNNNNNNNNNNNNNNNNNNNNNNNNNNNNNNNNNNNNNNNNNNNNNNNNNNNNNNNNNNNNNNNNNNNNNNNNNNNNNNNNNNNNNNNNNNNNNNNNNNNNNNNNNNNNNNNNNNNNNNNNNNNNNNNNNNNNNNNNNNNNNNNNNNNNNNNNNNNNNNNNNNNNNNNNNNNNNNNNNNNNNNNNNNNNNNNNNNNNNNNNNNNNNNNNNNNNNNNNNNNNNNNNNNNNNNNNNNNNNNNNNNNNNNNNNNNNNNNNNNNNNNNNNNNNNNNNNNNNNNNNNNNNNNNNNNNNNNNNNNNNNNNNNNNNNNNNNNNNNNNNNNNNNNNNNNNNNNNNNNNNNNNNNNNNNNNNNNNNNNNNNNNNNNNNNNNNNNNNNNNNNNNNNNNNNNNNNNNNNNNNNNNNNNNNNNNNNNNNNNNNNNNNNNNNNNNNNNNNNNNNNNNNNNNNNNNNNNNNNNNNNNNNNNNNNNNNNNNNNNNNNNNNNNNNNNNNNNNNNNNNNNNNNNNNNNNNNNNNNNNNNNNNNNNNNNNNNNNNNNNNNNNNNNNNNNNNNNNNNNNNNNNNNNNNNNNNNNNNNNNNNNNNNNNNNNNNNNNNNNNNNNNNNNNNNNNNNNNNNNNNNNNGGGCGAGCGCGCCGGGGUCGGGGGCGAGCGCGCCAAGGUCGGGGGCGGGCGCGGCGGUGCGACGGGGCCGGGGAAGAGAGAGUGGGGAUUUGGGGGAAAAGAGGCGGGAUGAAGCAGGGAGAGGGAGAAUUUUGGGUUAAGUGGACGUAGCAGUAGCGCGUUUACACGAAACGUGCUACUACUAUUACGAGCAGCUAUAGCGAUUUUCUGCAGAAACCGCUACUGCUACCUUGACUAGCUGUAGCUCUUUUUCACUAAAGCGCUACUGCUAUAACCAGUUUCCCUUUUUCUUUUCCUCGGCAUAAUAGGAACAUAUAUAUUACAUCAUUGGUCCCUUGCAUAAUAAUGGCUAAGUGUGUAUACAAAAUAGGAACAUAUAUAUAUUACAUCAUUGGACCCAUGCAUAAUAAUGGCUAAUUAAGUGUGUAUACAAAAUAGGAACAUGUAUUUGCAUUUUGCAAAAGCAUGAAAUAUUAAUCACACCUCUAUCUCGAGAUCGAGCACACGGUGGAGAUGAUGAUGUAGGGAGGUCAAAAGUGCACAAAACUCUUCUUGACAAAGAAAGAUCUAGUUAGGGGGCAAAUAGGUCACUUAACUAAACGCUACAUCUACCUAGCUAGCUAAUUUGGGAGGAGACAACUUCAACUAGUGGAGGGGGGAGGAAAAAGAGAAAGGAGAUGAAUUAAUGGAGGUGGUGUAGUUAUAGCUAGGAGUAAUGAAGAGAGAGAAAGGUAGGUAGAAGAGGGAGAGUAAUGGGGGAAGAAGUAUUGAGGAAGAAGAAGAGUGAAAGAGGGCCAAUGUGGGAGGUAGGGGAAAGGGAGGAGAGGAGAUGGGGAGGGGAGGUGGAAAAGGUGGUGGGUGCUGCGUCUUAGCAGUAGCGCGGGAGAGAAAGCGCGCUGCUGCUAAGAGCGUAGCAACAACGCGCUUUCCUGUCACGCGCUACUGCUAAAUGGGCCAACCCUGUGCACAAUUUCAAAAUUAGCAGCAGCGAGGUGACAAAAAAGCACGCUGCUACUAUGCCAUUAGCAGCAGCGCGCUCCCUGGCGCCGCGCUACUGGUAAACUUAUGUCGUUGUAUACUGUCGGUGGAUUUUUGUAGCAGCGCGGUUUAAGAGUCACGCGCUACUGCUAUGUUUGCACCAGUAGCGAGAUUUCCGUAGCCGCGCUGCUACUACUUAGCAGCAGUGCCUGUUUUUAUGUCGCGCUGCUGCUAAGAUUCUGUGUAUAAGGUUUUCCCUAGUAGUGGCGGUUUUGGUGGAGGAGUCAUGAGAAGAUCUUUGCCUUUCCCGGUGCCCAUGCCUUCUAGAGCAUGGAUCGGGGAUUGAUGUUCCUUGCUUGUGGGAAUUGCAGUAGGUAGGCUGAAGCAGUAGAGUACUCUCUUGGGGCUGUGGAAUUCCAUCUAAUAGCGCCAGGCACCCUGUCCUCUAAAUUGAUCUUAGCUGCGCUGGUCAAACAUGAUAGGUGGAUGAAAUCUUGGACAAUCAUCAUGGUGUUAUCGCGUCUUAGAUCUCUGAUCUAGGUUCCAUGCAACAUUGCAGUGGCGACAGUCAGGUUCUUCCGCUGCGAGUGAUCGAAGAGUGCGAGUAAAGCAGCACAGAGUGGGCGAACGCCGAUCCACGAGGAGUGCCAGAUGGUUGCAGUCUUGUUGGCGUCGACAGUUACUGACGUGGCCGUGAAGAGGGAGCGGUCCGCGUCAUCGUAGGGGGGAGGUGUGCCAGCCAGGGCCUUUGUCUGCAAUCUAGAUGUCUCUGUGUCAUCUCUUCUAAAAGUAGGAGGACGUCUCCUCGUGGCUAAAAGUUUCUUCUUUUAAUAGAUACUAGGGAAAGAGCCGUGCGUUGCAAAGGGAGAGAAAUAACACACGUUUUUUUAUUAAUACAUGUGUUGUCGCUUAUCGUCCCCACCCUCGCUGGCGGUGGUCUCAGUGCUCACAGAACCAUAACGCGUUUGAAUGUCGUCAACCCAAAGGCGUCUCUCUCUCUUUCUCUCUCUCUCUCUCUCUCUCUCUCUCUCUCUCUCUCUCUCGCGCGCGCGCGCUCGGUCAGAAGAAGAUGAGAAAUCUGUUGUUUUUCUCAUGCGAUGUUUUUUAUAGGUGUGCAUGUGUGGUUAUUGAUGUUUUCUUUUGUGUCAAUCUGGUUCUAGUGGCUAUUUAUUUGCAAUCCGGAUCGCCGCCAGUGCAAAAGAAAAAUAGACCGUGUGCUAUAGAUUAAGUUGCACCUAAAAUAAUAUUUGAAAAAUAUUUACCAUGUAAAAUGAUAUACUAUUCAGAUUCUACACAUUUUUCUCAUCAAAUUUCAUAUAUAGCAUUUUAAAAUAGGAGUUAUGGUAUAAAAGAUAAGGAUUAUUUGGAAAAGCAUUCGUUUUAGAUGGAUCGCAGAUUGAUUAACCAUAGAUUAAUUUUGCACACACAAAAAUUAAAAACACUUAACAGGUAAAACUAUAUCUUAUUCAGAUUCUAUACAUCUUUUAAUCAAAUUUCAUAUGUAACAUGUUAAAAUCGGAGUUAAGGUUUAAAAGAUAUGGAUAAUUUAGAAAAACAUUUGUAUUUGGUGGACUGCAGAUUGAUUAACAAAAAAAUAUCGGGUUUUCUAUUAAAACAUGAAAAACGAUUUGUUUGACUUACAUAUUGAUGGUGGGUUAAUUACCUCAAAAGUCCGGAGAUUUUCUGAAAAAACUGUAAAAGGGGUUAAUUCACAUAAAAUGUAGGGUGUUUUUUUGUGAAAUAGAUGAUGGAAGGGCAGAGGCUGCUGGGUGCUCCACACCCCUAUAUGAAUAUUAAACGUAAAAAAACUAAUAAAAAUAAAAAUUGGGGAAAUCAAACCUAGGUUCUUAAUCUACUCCCGGGUGAAGUUUUGUGAAAAAAUACCAGUAAUCGUAUCCAUGGUGAAGGAAAUACUGUCCGAAAAAAUCUAUCAAAACAGUUUUUUUCUAUACAUAGGAAAAUUUUGUCUUUUUUCCACAAAUACGUUUCCUGGUAAUUUUUUCACGAAAUUUCACAGGGGAGUAGAUCGGGAACCUAGGUUUGAUAUCCGAAAAUCCCAGAUUUUUUUCAAACUUAUCGGUAUUUUUCUGAAUUUGAUGUUCGUAUAGGGGUGUGGAGCACCCAGGUGCAACAAAUCCUCUUCCCUUUAUUAGUAGGUAUUGACACUACUAUUUAAACUGCAAAAAGUCUUACAUCAUUGAAAAUAUUCAAGAUGAAACAAAGUGAUGUCAGUUUCUCUGAAGUUUUAAUAAAUAUUAGUAUUUCUUAUAAAAAGGAAGUACCAUCGUAUUCAGGGAACCUAGGAUAGUUGUCAUCAUCCUCUUCUUCUUCAUUCUCUUCUAUUAGAACCCCUCUUUCUCUGUUAUUUGUCCAACAGUUAUAACCGGACAUGAAACCGGACAUAUGCAGGUGGAUAUGACGGACUUUGGAGCUAGAGUAAUUCCUAUCAUUCUUACAGACACCACAUGGACAACACAUAAAACCAUCCCACUCGUUUGCCUCAGCCGCAUGCAGAAAACUAUGCACGACAUUAAAGAACUAGGGAGAGGGUCGGUCAUCGUACAUCCAUUGCCGACUCGUCUCCAUUACACAACACCGAAAAGACCAAAUUAAUACAAGUUCAUACAUAAAGUUAAUACACACUUAUUCUCAUAAAACAACAUACAAUCAUCUAGCUAAAGCGUUUAAAUGCAACAACAAAUGCUAUCAAAAUCGCAACUAAGGUAAUAAUUGAUCCAACAGCAUAAUGAUACCAAGCCUCUUUAUUAACGACAUAUUUUCUAGUCUUUCUAAUGUUCAAGCGCAUUGCAUCCAUCUUGAUCUUGCGAUCAUCGACGACAUCGGCAACAUACAACACCAAUUCCAUCUUCUCUUCUUCAAUUCUUUUUCAUUUUUUUUAAAAUACUCAUUUUUUCAACUAAAUUUAACUUCUCAACAAGAGGGUUGGUUGCAAUUUCCGGUUCACAAAACUCCUAGAUAAAAAUAUCUAUGUCAACUUGAUGGGCAUAAUUGUCAUAAACAUGAAAUGCAACAAAUAGUUGUAAAAGAUAUUAUACCACAUCCGAAUCAUAAACUGAACGAGGGUCGACGGGGACGGAUAUCAAAACCAUGGCACUACGUAUAACAAACAAUCAUACAAGUAAGAAAAUUAUACAAGCAACUAUCUAAAUCAUACAAAUUUGUUUUUUUCACAAAAAAGAUAAGAACAAGAGCCUCACCAAGGUGGUGCUGCUGACGGGACGGCGCGGGCGAUCGACGACGGUGAGGACGGGAAGGCACUAGGUAAACCACACCUACACAUAUGCAAACUAAGAUGUUAAUUGGAGCUCAAAUUGCAUAUAAAUCAAAUAAACUCCCACAUAAUUACUCCCAAACUAAAACCCAUAAAUGACUAUACUUAUAGAGCAUGAAACGAGCUAAAUUAGCAAUGAGAGAUGAAAGGACAAAGUUACUAACCUUUUAAACACUUGAAAAGAUGGGGUGCCUCAAAUCUUGACAAAUCUUGGCAACAAUGGAGGAUGAGCUCGAGCUAGGGGGACUAGAGGUCACAAAUGAACCGGGACUAGAGGUGGCCAUGGCAUCGUCUGCCCCUAGCCGUUGGAACCGGGACUAGUGGUCCCAUUAGUCCCGGUCCAAAACCCGGUCGGGACUAAUGCUACAGAUGAAAGGCAUGUUUUCUACUAGUGACAACACACACACACAAAAAUUACGCCGACUAAAAACAAAGUCAUAUAAUACAAAAAUUAUCCCUAAGCGUAGGAAGAAAAAGAAAAACGAAAAGUAAUGAUGAUAUACAACAGUGACCAUCCAUUCCAACAAUCUUUUACAACACAAAGACCACAAGAAGUAUUAUUAAAAAGUGAUACCUGCGGGAGGGAAGCGACGUACAAGGCUGCCAUCGCUAGAUCUAACCACCAACGGUCAGAUCAUGGGUUUUUACUUUGAAGAUCAAAUCUGAGAAAAAAUCGAGCUAGGUUUAAGGAAAACUACCUAGUCGGUAUUUCGUUGCAAAAAUCGCCGCGUUUCUAAUAAACUUUUUGUGGAAAGCACUGAUGGCUCACCUUGCUGCAUUUAAUCGCAUGUCCGAUAGGUGGGGCCAGCUCGUUAGGAGCUGACUUAGGCAAAAAUUCGCCACAUAUGCGCAUUGACUGAGUUUUCAUCCUUCUCCUUUCCCCUUCUAUCACACAUUUGAUCAAACACAUGGUGUAUGUUUUUUCGAUAAAGGGUGGAUUUUAUUAACUCAAAAUGAAGCAUCAAGAAGAUACAAACACGAUGAGCAUACACCCAUCCUCUGCAUAGUUAGAAUGCACACAGCCAACACCAACGCACACACACAAAAACACACCGGCAAAUAGCAAAGUCAUAUAAGACCAAAGCUAUGCGUAUAGACGAGGAAAAAAGAAAAAAAACCAAAGCAAUCCAAUACUUGAUGGACAAACUAUAAUAAUGACCAUAUCUGCACCGACCAUCUCAUGACACCACACGGACGACGAUGUUCUUCAACAACAACACCUUCAGGAGGUAAGCAACACUCGAAUGUCACUGUCACCGGAUCGAGCCACCCAGGACUACAAUCUAAGGUUUUCACCUAGAAGAAUCAGUCCAGGAGUCCUAGAUUAGGGGGUCUCCGGACAGCUGGACUAUAUCCUUUGGCCGGACUGUGGGACUAUGAAGAUACGAGAUUGAAGACUCCGUCCCGUGUCCAGAUGGGACUUUACUUGGCGUGGAAGGCAAGCUAGGCAAUACGGAUAUGGAUAUCCCCUCCUUUGUAACCGACCUUGUGUAACCGUAGCCCCCUCCGGUGUCUAUAUAAACCGGAGGGUUUUAGUCCGUAGGACAACAUACAAUCAUACCAUAUGCUAGCUUCUAGGGUUUAGCCUCUUCGAUCUCGUGGUAGAUCAACUCUUGUACUACUCAUAUUAUCAAGAAUAAUCAAGCAGGACGUAGGGUUUUACCUCCAUCAAGAGGGCCCGAACCUGGGUAAAACAUUGUGUCCCCUGCCUCCUGUUACCAUCCGCCUUAGAUGCACAGUUCGGGACCCCCUACCCGAGAUCCGCCGGUUUUGGCACCGACAUUGGUGCUUUCAUUGAGAGGUCCUCUGUGUUAUCGCCGUUAGGCUUGAUGGCUCCUUCGAUCAUCGAUGGCGAUGCAGUCCAGGGUGAGACUUUUCUCCCCAGAAAGGUCUUUGUAUUCGGCGGCUUCGCACAGCGGGCCAACUCGCUUGGCCAUUUGGAGCAGAUCGAGAGUCACGCCCCUGGCCACCAGGUCAGGUUUGGAAGCUUAAACUACACGGCCGACAUCCGCGGAGACUUGAUCUUCGACAUAUUCGAGCCCCUGCCGAGUGCGCCGCACGGUCACGAUGAGCAUGAUUUAGCUCUGCUGUCGGACAGUGUUCAGGAGAUCGCACCGGCAACUGCUUCGACCCUCAAUUUGGAGCCAAUUGCGCCAUCCACGGACGGGUGGAUAGACCCCGCCUCGAAGGCCGUACUCUCAGCGGCGAUCGAGCUGAGUAUCGACCUUACCCUUCACGGGAGCCGUGACGCCGAACUACCUGAUUCUUCCCCGGCCACGGACUCCGAACCGCCUGCGCCCGUGCCUAUCGAAUCUGACUGGGCGCCGAUCGUGGAGUUCACCUCCGCGGAUAUCUUUCAGCACUCGCCCUUUGGCGACAUACUGAACUAACUAAGGUCUCUCUCCCUGUCAGGAGAGUUCUGGCCGAACUAUGUUCGGCAGGAUUGGGAUGCGGAUGACGAAGAAAUUCGCCGCCCACCCACCACCCACUUAGUAGCCACUGUCGAUAAUUUGACUGACAUGCUCGACUUCGACUCCGAAGACAUCGACGGUAUGGACGACGAUGCGGGAGACGAAGAAGAACCACUACCCACAGGGCACUGGAUAGCCUUCUCAUCAUAUGAUAUAUACAUGGUGGACACACCCAAAGAAGGCAAUGGCGAUGAGACAGCGGGGGAUGACCCCUCCAUGAAGCAACCCAAGCGCCGAUGUCAGUGGCGCCGCUCUAAGUCUCGCCAAAGCAAAAGCGGUGACACCAGCACAUGAGAUAAUAGCACUCCGGACAGUGCCGAAGACAACAACAACCCCCUCCAGCAAGAUUUAGAGCAGGAGGAUGGAGAAGCCAGCCAUCCUGAGAGAGCGGCAGAUGGAGAGGCGGAGGAUGAUAAUUACAUGCCUCCCUCCGAAGAUGAGGCAAGCCUCGACGACGACGAAUUUUUCAUGCCGGAGGAUCCCGCCAAACAAGAGCGCUUUAAGCGCAGGCUUAUAGCCACGACAAAUAGCCUUAAGUAAAGCAGCAGCAACUCCAAGCUGAUGAAGAUUUGCUAGCUGACAGAUGGACCGAAGUCCUUGCGGCCGAGGAAUAUGAACUCGAGCGCCCCUCCAAGAGUUACCCAAAGUGCAGGUUGCUACCCCGACUAGAGGAGGAAGCAUUAAAACCUACAUCUCCAGCAUAUGAUGCGGCUGAUCGGCCACCUCAUGGCCGCGACAGAGAGGCAUUUCAACCAAAAACUCAGCCCGCACCCCGACGCCACUCAAUUAAAAAUGACAAGGCACGGGGAAACAUGCUAGACCCGCGAGACGUAUUGGAGGACAAAGCAAAACACACAAGAUCGAUCUACAGAUCACGAGGGCGCGCCACUACGCGACACGAUAACCGUCAUGCCGGAUACAGUAAAAGUCAAUUCGGCCGGGCCGAACACAGCGGACAAGAAUCAUUCGAGCUGCAUCGCGACAUAGCCCACUACAGACGCGCCACACACCCCAUAUGCUUCACAGACGAAGUAAUGGAUCACCAAAUCCCAGAGGGUUUCAAACCCGUAAAUAUCGAAUCAUACGUCGGCACAACAGAUCCUGCGGUAUGGAUCAAGGACUUCCUCCUGCACAUCCACAUGGCCCGCAGUGACGAUCUACAUGCCAUCAAAUACCUCCCACUCAAGCUCAAAGGACCAGCUCGGCAUUGGCUCAACGGCCUGCCAGCAGAAUCCAUUGGCUGUUGGGAAGAUCUGGAAGCCGCAUUCCUCGACAACUUCCAAGGCACUUAUGUGCGGCCACCAGAUGCCGAUGACUUGAGCCACUUGAUUCAGCAGCCAAAGGAAUCGGCCAGGCAAUUCUGGACACGGUUCCUGACAAAGAAAAAUAAAAUCGUCGACUGUCCGGAUGUAGAGGCCCUAGCAGCAUUUAAGGACAACAUCCGUGACGAGUGGCUCGCCCGGCACCUUGGCCAGGAAAAUCCGAAAUCUAUGGCAGCCCUCACGACACUCAUGACCCGCUUUUGCGCGGGAGAAGACAGCUGGCUGGCUCGCAGCAAUAACAUAUCAAAGAACCACGGUACUUCAGAUACCAAGGAUAGCAAUGGCAGGUCACGUCACAACAAACAUAAGCGCUGCGGUAAUAGCGACAAUACCGAGGACACGACAAUCAAUGCCGGAUUCAGAGGCUCUAAACCCGGUCAGCGGAAAAAGCCAUUCAAAAGAAGCACUCCAAGCUCGUCUAGUUUGAACCGUAUACUCGAUCGCUCGUGCCAAAUACAUGGCACCCCUGACAAGCCAGCCAACCACACCAACAGGGAAUGUUGGGUGUUCAAGCAGGCCGGCAAGUUAAACGCCGAAAACAAAGACAAGAGGAUACAUAGAGAUGACGAGGAAGAGCCCCGGCAGCUGAACACCGGAGGACAGAAGAGGUUCCCCCCACAAGUGCGGACGGUGAACAUGAUAUACGCAACCCAUAUCCCCAAGAGGGAGCGGAAGCGUGCGUUAAGGGACGUAUAUGCAUUGGAGCCAGUCGCCCCAAAGUUCAACCCAUGGUCCUCCUGUCCGAUCACCUCGAUCGCAGGGACCACCCCACUAGUAUCCAUCAUGGCGGAUUCGCCGCACUGGUCCUAGACCCAAUCAUCAACGGAUUUCACCUCACUCGAGUCCUUAUGGAUGGUGGCAGCAGCCUGAACCUGCUUUAUCAUGACACAGUGCGCAAAAUUGGUAUCGACCACUCAAGGAUCAAACCCACAAGAACGACCUUUAACGGCGUCAUACCAGGUGUAGAGGCCCAUUGCACAGGCUCAGUCACACUGGAAGUGGUCUUCGGAUCCCCAGAUAACUUCCGAAGCGAGGAGUUAAUCUUCGAUAUAGUCCCGUUCUGCAGUGGCUAUCAUGCACUGCUCGGGCGAACCGCAUUCGCGAGAUUCAACGCAGUACCGCACUAUGCAUAUCUCAAGCUCAAGAUGCCAGGACCUUGAGGGGUCAUCAAAGUCAAUGGAAACACAGAGCACUCUCUCCGCACGGAGGAGCACACUGCGGCCCUCGCAGCAGAAGCGCAAAGCAGCCUCUUAAGGCAAUCCACCAGUUCGGCGAUUCAAGACCCGGACACCUUCAAGCGCGCCCGGAGUAAUCGACAACAAGACCGCCUGGCACGUUCUGAGCUCGCAUAGCAAUGCGGCCCCCACCCUAGUCCCAGCCAAAUGGCGAAAUCCGUGCCACACGUGCAUAAUUACACAUUGAAAAUACCAUGCGCACAGGCGGGGAGGGGGGCCCGACUACGGCACGCCCCAAGAUGCGGCUCAACUGCACUAGGGGUUUCCCGCUCUAUUAUUUUUCUCUCUUUUAGGACAUUAAUAUCUGAAAACCCCAUCCGGCAGUACGAUUGCCAGACACACGAUGCAACAACCAAGGAGGCAGAAAGCUACGUUGCACCACGGAACUCCCAGGUGGUCUCUGUUAACGAGUGAAAUACCUGCUUUAAAUUACAUUCCUCAGCUUGCCGUUGGAGGGGACAUGUCAAAUAGUCCUACUUUUUUGCUUAUCGCACUACUUGUAUCAUUCUGCUUCGACGCACCCUUUUUGAAUAAACAAUGCAUAGCACUAGACUAUUACCACAUUCUCUAUUCUUUUUUUAUAUAUAUGUUCAUUCAUGACAUUCAGCACCCGUACACUCUGGUAUGGCCAAUACGCCAGGGGCUUAAGCAUACCCCAUAAUACGGCGUGAGAAGUUCGAACACUUUCGACAGUGCGGCACCCCGAACUUAUAGCAUUAUAUGCAUCAGCUCUGAAUCAUGUCUUGGGUCAAUAGUUGGGUUUGCCCGGCUCCCAUGUUUUGGUACCUUGCGUUUCGCUAUAUCGGCUAAGGUAGCACUGGGAGAACUACUGCGAUUGUGCCCUGGUUUAGCUGGGCUAAGCACCUCAGUAGAGAAAGCUAAAACUGACUGUCAAGAUAAGGCGAGAGCCGGUCGCUGUUCGAGAGGUAUCGAGUCCCUAAAGACUUAUGCCACUUAGAUCGAGGAGUCGGCUUUCUCCGGCUUAAGGCGUGUAUGGAGCCUCGAAUUCGGCCUUCUGAAUACCAGGGGCUUCGCCAAAAUUUAAAAUUGUAGACUUCUAUGGCUAAAUGAGAGUGAUAAAUCAUUAUAGUCCGAUUGCCUUGUUCGUUGCGCUGAGCACCUCCCUCGAAGGACCCAACAAUGGGAACAAGAGUGCUUAGAUUCAUCCCGAACACCCCAGCACUCGUGGCAUGGGGGCAGAAGCCGACGACUAGCCGUCUCUCGGAUUUAAUAAACAGUUGCACAGAAGGUAAUAUUUUGAAUUCAAACAAGUGUUGCAUAGCACAUAUGAACAAGUUUUUAUAAUGCAGGAUCACACGAGCGAGUUCAUUCAAAUAUUACAUCCUUCACACACUCGUCCGCCACAAGACGGGAACCCUUCAAGACACCCUCAUAAUACAUUUCGGGGUGGCGAUGCUCCUUGCCCUGCGGUGGCUCCUCCUUCACCAGCUUCUCGGCGUCCAUCUUGGCCCAGUGCACCUUUGCACGGGCAAAAGCCCGGCGGGCACCUUCGAUACAGACAGACCGCUUGAUGACUUCCAGUUCUGGGCUGGUAUCCACAAGCCUCCUCACCAGGCCGAAGUAGCUGUUGGGAAGGGAGUCACCAGGCUACAUCCGGACUAUAAAGCCCCUCAUGGCCUGUUCGGCCGCCUUGUGCAGCUCGACCAGUUGCUUCAGCUGGUCGCUCAUAAGCACCGGGUGUUCGGUCCCAGUAUACUGAGACCAGAACAACUUCUCCGUCGAGCUUCCCUCCUCGGCCUGGCAAUACUUUGCGGCAUCUGACACGCUGUGGGGCAAAUCUGCGAAUGCUCCUGGAGAGCUCCGGACAAGUAAUUUACUUUCACACGCUUGCUUUGCAUAUUGAAUGCCUUACCCGCCGCUAUCUUCCUCAUCGCCUCAAUUUCCUGGAGGGCCUUUUGGGCUUCGGGCUUGGCAUGCUUGGUGUUCUCGAGGGCCGCGGCAAGCUCGGACUCUCGCGUCUUCGAGUCAAGCUCCAAAGUCUUGUGUUUCUUCACAAGAGCCUGGAGCUCUUGCUGCUGCUCGCCCACCCGUGCCUCUUGUCUCUCUCGCUCGGUGCGCUCCUUGGCCGCUUUGUUUUCGGCCUCGAACAACGCUUGCUUCAGGGUUGCCACUUCGGUCAUGGCCCCUGACACAUUCUGUAACGCCCUCGAUGCGGCUAUAUCUCCCACUUGUCGAAGCACGACUUAAAGGCAUAACCGCAUUGAAAGCAAUGUAGCAAGUGAGGUAAUCUUCACACAACCCAUGUAAUACAUAAGGGAAAGCGAUACAUAGCUGGCUUACACUCACCACUUCACACAAUUACAUGAAUAAAGCAUUACAUCAACCAGUUACAAACAAGGUCCGGCUACGGAACCAAAAUAGAAGAAGACUACCCCAAAUGCUACACAGAUCCCCGAUCGACCCCAACUGGGCUCCACUACUGAUCAACUAGAACGAAACAACUCAAAGGACAAGAUCUUCAUCGAGCUCCUCCUUGAGCUUGGUUGCGUCACCUGCUCGGUAACAUCGGCACCUGCAAACUAGUUUUGGAAGUAUCUGUGCGUCACGGGGACUCAGCAAUCAAACACCCUCGCGAUCAAGACUAUUUAAGCGUAUGGGUAAGGUAAAAGGUAUGAGGUGGAGCUGCAGCAAGCGACUAGCAUAUAUGGUGGCUAACAUGUACGCAAAAGAGAGCGAGAAGAGAAGGCAAAGCACGAUCGUGAAACUAUGAUCAAGAAGUGAUCCUAGAACAACCUACGUCAAGCAUAACUCCAACACCGUGUUCACUUUCCGGACUCCGCCGGAAAGAUACCAUCACGGUAACACACGCGGUUGAUGUAUUUUAAUUAAGGUCAACUUCAGGUUUUCUACAACCGGACACUAACAAAUUCCCAUCUGCCCAUAAUUGCGGGCGCAACUUUCGAAAGUUCAAAACCCCGCAGGGGUGUCCCAACUUAGCCCAUCACAAGCUCUCACGGUCAACGAAGGAUAUUCCUUCUAGCGGGAAGACCCGAUCAGACUCGGAAUCCCGGUUACAAGACAUUUCGACAAUGGUAAAACAAGACCAGCAAAGCCACCCGAAUGUGCCGACAAAUCCUGAUAGGAGCUGCACAUAUCUCGUUCUCAGGGCACACCGGAUUGUCCAAACUUCCGGUAGGCCAUCCCAGAGUUGUCCCUAGUGGCCACCGGCGGCUGACAAGGUGGACCAACACUCAGAGGAGCACUGGCCCGGGGGGGUUAAAAUAAUGAUGACCCUCGAGAGCGCGACUCCCAAGGGAAAAGAAAAGGCUAGGUGGCGAAUGGUUAAACCAAGGUUGGGCCUUGCUGGAGGAGUUUUAUUCAAAGCGAACUGUCAAGGGGCUCCCAUUAUAACCCAACCGCGUAAGGAACGCAAAAUCCGGGAACAUAACACCGAUAUGACGGAAACUAGGGCGGCAAGAGUGGAACAAAACACCAGGCAUAAGGCCGAGCCUUCCACCCUUUACCAAGUGUAUAGAUGCAUUAAUUAGAUAAGAGAUAUUGUGAUAUCCCAACAAGUAAACAUGUUCCAACAAGGAACAACAUCUCCAUGUUCCAACAAGGAACAAACUUCAAUCUUCACCUACAACUAACAACGCUAUAAGAGAGGCUGAGCAAAGCGGUAACAUAGCCAAACAACGGUUUGCUAGGACAAGGUGGGUUAGAGGCUUGGUUUAACAAUAUGGGAGGCAUGAUAAGCAAGUGGUAGGUAUCGCAUCAUAGGCAUAGCAAAAGAGCGAGCAUCUAGCAAGCAAAGAUAGAAGUGAUUUCGAGGGUAUGGUCAUCUUGCCUGAAAUCCCGCAAGGAAGAAGAACGAGUCCAUGAAGAAGACAAACGGACGUAGACGAACGGGUCCUCACAAACGCGACGUUACCGGAACCAACCCAAAGAAGCAAACACCGGAAAUAAGCACACAACAUAGUAAACAACCAACACAUGAACAUGGUAUGAUAUGCGGGAUGCGGUAUGUGAUGCAUAUGCAUGAUUUGGAAAGGAAUGAUUGAACCUGGACUCAACUUGGAAAUCCAAGAGUGCCACUGGAAAGGCGAGGUGAUUUCGGUUGAAAACGAUAUAAAGAUCACCGGAAUCGGAUGCACGGUUUGGAAAUGGCAAGCAAAACAAAUAUGGCACCGGUCUGCGAUAAUCAGCAAGUAGCCAACUAAAUGCAUCAAGAUAAAUAUCCUACAGCACACAAAGAUGGCAACAAAAUACAUGGCAGGGAUCCACUCACGAUGCUUGACAAAAGAUGAACACUGAGCUACGGCUAAUUCACUCAUUAACAGGUCCAAACAAGCAUGGCAAAAGAGCAAAUGAUAACAGGUUUCGGACUUUGUGAAAUUAACACAAGUCUGGAAUUUAUCAUCAGGAAGCACACUUUAGAGCAUAAAAAAUACAUGCUACAGGAACUUAACAUGGCAAGGCAAGGCAUGGAAUGAAGCUACUCAAAGCACUUAACAAAAGUUCCUUAGUGACCUUGAGCCAAAAGGGAUCAGAAAAUACAAUUGCAAGCAUGUGAACAUGGCAAAAACAUAAACAGAUCUCAGACUUUGUGAAAAACUGGAGCAUGCAAAUCAGUUAAUGAGUAGGCAUGUUUACGAGCUCGAUGCACUCACUACAGAGCAUGGCAUGACAAACUAAGCAUACAUCCAUCAAAAAUACAUGGCAUAGAAGCUAGGCAUGGCAAGAAGAACAACAUAGCAUGCACGGAUCAAUAGCAACAUCCUCGGCAAAAUCGCUAAUCAUGUCAACAAUCUGCUAGGAUUCACAAUAUAGCAAAAGUAGAGCUCGAUUGACUCAAGCUAGGGUGCUCCACAAAUGCAAACAAAGACAUGGAUGGAUAGAGCCCCACAAUGUUAGCAAAACAUCCUUACUGAUCAUCCUCAAAAGAGGCACGGAUCAUUAGGAAACAACAUGAACAUAUGGCAUAACCACAAAAUCAGGACAAGGACUUAGUGAAAUUCAAAGUCCCUGAAAUCAGCAUUACCGAUUACGCUACUUUGCAAGCUUGUGAUAGUCACCAAAAGUAUCACAAAAAUACAUGGCAUACACCCCUGUAAAGAUGGCAUGGCAUAUAACAAAACACAAGUAGAGCUCAACAUCAUAUCAUGCACACAUUAAUCAUGGUAAAAAUGACAAAAUGCCAUUUGCUAAAACAGAUCUGACAAAUUCAUCACAUAGCCCUCUUCCAACAGCAUUUCAGGCAUCAAGAUUAGCUCAAAUGAAAAUGAUGCAAUGAGACGAAAUGAUGUACUCGUCGAGACGAACAUUUUGACAUAAAAUGCGUGCAAAACGGAGUUACGAGCAGGAAGUUACGCUAGGUCAAACUAGUGCACAUAAGAUGAAAAUUCUGGGACUUAUGAAAAUUCUGGGACUUAGUGAAAAACUACCAGCGCGAAACUGGAUCCAAGUCGGGGAUAGCUCGUUCUCUGCUACAGGAUGGCGCCGGCGGAAGUCAACGGCGAUGGCGUGGAGGCGUGGAACUCCGGUGAGCAUCGGGAAGGCCGUGAAUGGGUAGAUCGGGCGCGGGGCAACCCAUUCCCGGCGAAGGGGCGGCUUGGGGCGGCGCGAGCACGUAGAUCGGGGCGGCCAUGGUGUUCCUGCGAGGUUCAUGGAGAGAGAGCUCGUGAGGGAGAGAGAGCUCGUGAGGGAGAGCGAGAGCAGAGGAGAAAAAGGGAAGGGAGAGGCACGUGGCCGGCCUACUGGAGGUCUCCCGCGAGAUCCCGGCGGAGCUCCGGCGAGCGGCGGUGGAGAAGACGACCGGCGACGGGCUGGAUCGGGAGGCGAAGCAGGCGCGCUCAGGCGCGCGGGAUCGGGCCCUGGACGGCCUGGGACGGGCUCCCCAUGGGCCGCGCGGGCCGGCGGCGGAGGAGAGGGCUGCAGGGCGCGUGGCACGCUGUGAGUGGCUGCGGGCGGCGGCGCGGACGUGUCCGGCGCGGCGCGCACAUGUCCGGUGGCGCGAUGAGGAGGGAGACUAGGGUUUGUACCGCGAAUUUCAGGAGGGGAGCACAUAUUUAUAGGUAGGGGGAGCUAGGAGAGUCCAAAUGAGGUGCGGUUUUCGUCCACGCGAUCGUGAUCGAAUGCUCUAGAUGAUGGAGAGGGUUUUGGUGGGUUUUGGGCCACUUUGGAAGGGUGUUGGGCUGCAACACUCACGAGGCAUUUUCGGUCCCUCGGUUAACCGUUGGAGUAUCAAACGAAGUCCAAAUGGCACGAAACUUGACAGGCGGUCUACCGGUAUUAAACCAAGGACGCAUGACAAGUCUCGGUCCAAUCCGAAAACGUUUAACACCCGCACACGAAAAGAGGUAGAAAGGGACACCGGGUGACAUAGGAGCGCCGGAUUGCAAAACGGACAACGGGGAAAAUGCUCGGAUGCAUGAGACGAGCAUGUAUGCAAAUGAAAUGCACAUGAUGACAUGAUAUGAGAUGCAUGACACGUAAGCAAUGACAAGGCAACAAUAGCGAAUAACUGGAGGACACCUGGCACAUCGGUCUCGGGGCGUUACACAUUCAUGAUGAUCCUGUCAGUUCGCAACCACAUUUUCUUUUUUAUAUAGACAAGGUAUUACUCACCCUUGUUCUCCUCGAGCUGCCUCUUGGCAAGGCCGAGCUCUUUCUCAAACCCCUCGAAGUCCCGCUUCAGUGCGACGACCUCCGCAGUCAGUGCGGCAGAGGUCAGCAGCGAAGCCUGCAUACGCAUACAGACAUACUUAUAUUAGACUCCUGCAGAUAUUAUUGAUUCUCUAUUCGGCUUUUCUUUGUGAACACCAAACAGAGCAUCAGGGUCUACUGUCUAUGCGGUAAUAUUUUUCCUAUAUUUUAAAUACUUACCUCAAAGCCUGUUAGAAGGCUGGCACAGGCUUCAGUCAUCCGCUCUUGGUGGACUGAACCUUCUUGAUCAUCGCACUCAUAAUAGUGCGGUGCUCUUCGUUGAUGGAAGCGCCGCGAAGCGCUCCCAGCAGGUCGUCCGGUGCCUCUGGUUGGACAGAGGUCACCGGCACGGACGGCUUGCCCUUCUUGGAGGGGGGCCGCCUGCCCGAGUCCGGAACCACUGGAGGUUCCGGCGCGGUGUUCGGCUGAGGGCCGAACUUGGAGCCCGUGGGAGCCUUGCUCCCUUUGCUCUUGCAGUCCGGAAGGUCGCCUUGAGGCGCCGCCGGGACUGUCUCCCCCCGGCCCGGUGCCCGUUGAGACAGUACCUCGGCAUUGUCCAUAGGGCAACGAGAGGUGGCGGUUGGAAGUGUAUCACUGUCCAUGUCCGACGGGUCCAAGGAUCCGUCCGACGAUGAUACGUCAAUACGGGCUUGGGGCGGACUGCAUAAUCAUAUUCGACGUUAGGAGAAGCAGUGCAACAAAACUAUGCUAUUAGUUACUCUGGUAUCUGAAUACUUACGACUUCGCUAGGGGCUUGGACCUGAGCAGCCACUCGUCUUCGCCGUCAGCGGCGAUGGUGGAACAGUCCGGAAGGAGAGUCCUUCCCUUCUUGGACCCUUCAGCCUCCCCGGUUGGGGCGGCCUUCCUUUUCUUGUCUCCCCCGACUGGAGGGGGAGAGUCUUCAUCUUCCAUCUCCUCAUUUUCAUGGGAGGAGUGCGUCUCGGAGUUAUCGGACGAUGAGUCUGAUACCACCUGGCGCCGGGAACUCUUUCGAGUUCCCUUGGCCUUCUUCUUGGUCUUAUCCGGCACCUCAUAAGGAGCCAGAGUCCGCAUCUCCGUCAGGAGGGCCUCCGCAGGGUCUUCGGGCAGAGGGGUCGGACAGUUGAUCUGCUCCGAUGUCUCCACCUAGUCCUGUCAAAGGCAUGGGAGCUCAGACCCCGCACAUGGUUAAGCUAUGGGAAAUAAAUACCCUGCUAGAUGUACAGAACUUACCGGAUUCGCAUGGCGCUUCGCGCUUAGCCCGCGGUCCUCGGUAAGAGAAGGAGGGACCUUGGCACCCUUGAACAGCACCUUCCAGACGUCCUUAUGCGUCGUGUCGAAGAGCUCAUGUAGAGUCUGGUGCUGGGCCAGGUCGAACUCCCAUAAGUUGAAAGCCCGUUGUUGACAUGGGAGGAUCCGGUGGAAGAGCAUGACCUGGGCUAUGUUGACAAGCUUAAGUUUCUUGCUUGUCAUGUUCCGGAUACACUUCUGUAGUCUGUCCAGCUCCACCGAAGAGCCCAAGACAGGCCCUUCUCCUUCCAGGAAGUGAGCCGCGUGGGGACUCCGGAUCAAAACUCGGGGGCCGCCACCCAAUUGGUGUCACGCGGCUCGGUGAUGUAGAACCACCCCGAUUGCCACCCCUUUACGGUCUCCACGAAGGAGCCCUCGAGCCAUGUAACAUUGGGCAUUUUGCCCACCAUGGCUCCGCCGCAUUCUGCUUGUUGGCCGCCUACUACCUUCGGCUUGAUAUUGAAGGCCUUCAGCCAUAGGCCGAAGUGAGGCCGGAUGCGGAGGAAAGCCUCGCACAUGACGAUGAACGCCGAGAUGUUGAGGAUCAAAUUCGGGGCCAGAUCAUGAAAGUCCAGCCUAUAAUAGAACAUGAGGCCGCGGACGAAUGGAUGGAGGGGAAACCCCAGUCCAAGGACGAAGUGGGGGAGGAAAACCACCCUUUCAUGAGGUUCCGGGGUAGGGACGAUCUGCCCUGCGGCAGGUAGCCGAUGCGCGAUAUCCGCGGCUAAGUAUCCGGCUCCACGCAGUUUUUUGAUGUGCCUCUCCGUGACGGAGGAGGCCAUCCAGUUUCCUCCCACUCCGGACGUGUUUGGAGAGAGUGGGGGAAAAUGAUGUGGACUUGGGCGCUGGAGCUCGAGUGCGCGAGAAUGGAUGAGCAAGGAGGAAGAAGGCGUGGGUAGAAAAAGGUGAGAUCUUAUCCCUUUAUAAGGGCGGACUAAACUAUGCGCCCCCACUAGCCUGGUAAAACUCGCUUAUCCCCCAAGCGCCGUAAUUAAUGGCGCGGUUGGGUUACCCACAUCCAUAUUGAUGAGAAUCCCGCAAUAAGGGGAACACGAUCUCUGCUUUGACAAGACGUGUCAAGAAACCGCCUCGUGUUAUGUGCGGGGCUGGUUAAAGAAAAACGGUUCAAAUAAUUAUUGGGCCGUGGCAUGAUGUCAUGCUGCCAAAACGUGUCAGCAGAUUAGAUUUGUGGUAAUAUUAUUGUCUCUACGGUGGUAUGUGGAACUUAUUUUGCAGGGUCGGACACUAUCCUUGUAUUCAAACUCUUCCGUCGUUUAUUCGGAGGAGGAACCCACCUUACAAUGCCGAAGAUAACACUGCGUGCCGGACUCAUCGUCAUUGAAGCCUGGUUCAGGGGCUACUGAGGGAGUCCUGGAUUAGGGGGUCUCCAGACAGCCGGACUAUAUCCUUUGGCCAGACUGUUGGUAUAUGAAGAUACGAGAUUGAAGACUUCGUCCCGUGUCCGGAUGGGACUCUACUUGGCGUGGAAGGCAAGCUAGGCAAUACGGAUAUGGAUAUCCCCUCCUUUGUAACUGACCUUGCGUAACCCUAGCCCCCUCCGGUGUCUAUAUAAACCGGAGGGUUUUAGUCCGUAGGACAACAUACAAUCAUACCAUAGGCUAGCUUCUAGGGUUUAGCCUCUUCGAUCUCGUGGUAGAUCAACUCUUGUACUACUUAUAUUAUCAAGAAUAAUCAAGCAGGACGUAGAGUUUUACCUCCAUCAAGAGGGCUCGAACCUGGGUAAAACAUUAUGUUCCCUGCCUCCUAUUACCAUCCACCUUAGACGCACAGUUCGGGACCCCCUACUCGAGAUCCGCCGGUUUUGACACCGACACCAAGCACUCCGAACAAUGCCUUCAACAAGGUAACGACGUACAAACAUCGCCAUUGCCAGGUAUACCCAACUCGGGCUAGAGCUAGGCUUUCACCCUGAAGCUCAAGACCGGGUGCUCAAGUAGCACCACCAUUGAGGUCAUUAAUGUGUUGUCACCACCACUUUUCCACAAUUCUAGCAGCUACAUACGGUGUGACUGUCGCCGCCGCACAACCAUCCCUCUGCAUCAAAACUUUUUCCAUAAUUUGCAUCUUGCCGCCGAAGUCAACCACCAGAUCUUUGAAGAUGAACUCUUAGAAAAUCUUUUGAUGGUGACCACAGUCCACAGCUAGGCCGCCCCUGUCCCGGAUUCAAUUCCCGAUGACGCGCUCAGAAGCGAGAAAGCAGAUCUGCCAACUCCACCUAGUCGUGAAGACCCGGCCAUGCCGCUGCCCGCCAAGACCUAAUGACCAAGCAGCCAUGACCAUGUGCUGCAGCUAGCCGGCAGCCUGGACGGCCGCCGAGAAUCUACACGCAUGUGUACCUCUGAAGCAGCCGUGUGGAUGCGUCCAGGAAACCAGCCCCGCACGUACUGUAGGCCAUAGACUUCGUCCAGAUCGGGAGGCCGGAAUCAUCAGAUAGCGGCCAGAUCGGAAGGCGACCACCAAGGGGAAGAACAGAAAGAGUCCGGAGAUGCCCCGCCGCCACCGUCCGCCGGGCGGCCGGCCUCCUCCGGCGGGGGCGUGGUGAACGGCGCGGCGAGGGAGGGCCUCCGAAGGUGGCCGCCGCGGCGCCUCCGGAGUCGUCUGAAGCGACCAGGGAGGCUAGUGCACUGGUUGAUCAAACUGAACGAGGUGACCAUAGUUUGCUUGUGUCCAUUUUCUUGGAAGAUCGAUGGUCUGCAGGGGCCAGUGGCGGUGCCACAGUCUUCAGCAGGUAGCGUCUUUGCAAGGACACCCCACUCCUUCCACAGCUGGUCACCGAGCUCUGGCUGCUGCACGCCACCAGCCAGAUUCAGUAAACUAAAUCUGCUGAGCACUACUGAUUCUAAGAUUAGUCCCCAGAGCAAAGUAGUCAUCACCCAUGGUUGCAGAUAUAAUAAAACUACAUCUAACUCUUGCAUGCAUGAGUGAGUGCACAAAUCUCACCAGAAACAAAUGGAUUGCUAUUUGUUGUGGGAGUGAGCAUAAAUUCCACUGUUUUGAAAGAGAUGUCUGAGACAUUAAUCACUCAAAGAUACUGCUGCUAAAAAUGUAGUGAUCGAUCGGUCUUGUGAGGUGCUGCUGGGGAAAAGAAGAGUCGCAAUCCAUUCCUCAACUAAAGCUAGUGUGAAGAGCGCACGGUCUCCAACCAGCUGGAAUCUUCACAUGCCCAUCAUGAACACCCAAAGAUAAGCAAACAUUGUAUACCGGCACCAUUGCUUCAUCCAUCCAUCCAUAAUUCCGUAUACAGACAGCACAGCACAACACCUGUCAAAGGUGAGGAAGCCCCCUUAAAAACAAGUACUAGUAAGUUUCCUCUACACGUUUUGGCACUGAUUCCAGAAACCAUUAGCGUGAAUAUGUUGUUUCUGACCAUAUCUGGGUCGUUUUAUCAUGCAUCACGUACUACACCAGACAUGGGUCGGCUAGGGGAGGGAAUUAAUAUAUACACGUCUGUUGCUUUUUCUCGUUGCGGCCUUGAUUUCAUUGAUUAUAUGUAAUGUUUUUGUGCUUAUUGGUAUUUAGUUCAAGGUCGCCCUAUGGCACAUUGAAAAAGAAUAGUUCCGGCUGAGGGGGGGACAAGCGAGGUCGACAUGCUUGCUCUACCCAGCGCCGGCCCUAGAGGAUGGACCAAUAAUCAGUUGUUAGCACUCCUUCACAAAAUUGAUAAAGAUACACGAGAGUCUCGCAAAAUUGUUGGUCUCAUGAGAGUCUCGCAGCUUUAGCAUGAGAGGAAGAGUGCCACAGUGCGGUGCAAAAUGUUAAGGAACAUGAUAGUAACACGACCUUAAUUAAUAUGGACAGAGGGUUUUGAGAGGGACUAAAGAUACACGAGAGAUUGAAGUUGUGAAGAUUGACAUGCUAAUAAUCCUCAUGAUAAGUAGUUUAUUUAUAUCUUGAACAUAGGUUACAACGGUGCCCUAAAGAGUAAUGACUCUAUAGUCUUGUUUUCUGAUUAAUAUGAUAGUCUCUACAUGUAACUCCAACCGUAAAGAACAAGAUAUACGCUACUCUUCUCUAUUUUAGUGAACAAAUAUUUCACUUUGGUGGGAGGGUGGAGGAGGCUGGCGCUGCCUCCACUAUGUUAAGUGAAGAAUGUUUGCGGCAUUCCUUAUCACAUUCUUCAGGCGUGGGAUAGCAAUAGUAUUUGGGAUCCACGAAACAACACCAACAAUAGCCGUCAUUGCAUUUUAUUUUAGGUGGUCCACACAAUCCAUAUGGUAGACUGAUCUUCUCGUUACCUAUGUCUUCAAUACUCCCACCUAGAGAAUAAAAACAAAUUAGAGCAACGUAUAUAUCAUGGAUGCAACUAUAUAGAACUAUUACAUAAAUGUUUAUUUAAUCAACAAACAAGAAAAGGAAAAAUAUGAAACAACAACGAACAAAUGGCAUUUUUACUAAUAGCAUAGACAUUUUUCAAUAUACAUGAAAAAAUAUUAGACAUAACUCAUGAUAAUACAAAACUAAACAAUGUAAGUAUACGGAAACAAAUUUUCAUCAUAUACCGUGUUACUUACAUUGAACAUGAGCAACAAAGCAAACGAGAAGAAUAAUCCAGAGUGGCGCUAGUAACUGCACACGUUCCAUGUACUUCUCCAUGCCCACAGACUUGAAUUACUUUAAACAAUCAGUGCUUUAGGAGGCCCAAUAUGUGUGUGCUGAUCUAAGAAUUAGUUGGAGACUGCUAGCCAUAUCAUUCCUUCUUAUAUAUAGAGGGGUGACAAAAUAUUAGUCAGGAAUUUAUUUAAUGGAGCCAAUUAGCUAUCAUUUAUAAUUUUCAAAGUAAAUGAAAAUUCGUGGUGAACAUUAAAUCUCAGGAUGCUAAUUUUGGGGGGCAUUGAUGGCCCAAAGUUUAAAAGACUACCCAAGAGACGCUCGGAAAUGCACAUUUAACUCCAUUCAUAAAUAUAAGCCUUUUUUAGAGAUUUCAAUGAGGACGACAUACAGAUGUAUAUAGACGUACUUUAGAGUGUAGAUUCACUCAUUUUGCUUUAUAUGUAGUACAUAUAGGAAUCUUUAGAAAGACUUAUAUUUAGAAACUAAGGAAAUAAUGUAAUAGCACAUUUAAUAACCUAACACCGCUAGGAAAAACCUUACCGGUAGCGCUGGAUUUUGAGCUACCAGUAGCGCUGGUGGACACGCUACUGCUACGGCGCUACAACUAUCUAUUAGCAGUAGCGCUCUUUCUGCCUAGCGCUACUGGUAAUUUGAAAUAGCAGUAGCACGUGUUAAAAAAGCUCUAUUGUUAGAGCGCACUGCUGGUACUGCUAAUGUUUUAUGUUUUUUUCUUGUUUUAUACUGUAUUUGUACACCCGUUAUUAAAUUUUGAGAUAGUAGCUCAUCGUCAUCAUAAUAACUCAUCAUCAUCGUAAUAACAACUCAUCGUUAUCAUCAUCAUAGUCAUAUAAGAACUCAUCAUCAUAACAACUCCUCAAUCCUCAUCAUCAUCUAUAAGUCAUAUAGCAACUCAUCAUUAUUCUAACACGUUGUAGCACAUAACUCAUCAUCAUCAUCAUAAUAACAACUUCUACUCAUCAUCAUCUAUGAGUCAUAUAACAACACAUCAUUCUAACACAUUGUAGCACAUAACUCAUCAUCAUCAUAAUAACAACUCGUACUCACCAUCAUCUAUGAGUAAUAUAACAACUAAUCAUUCCAACACAUUGUAGCACAUAACUAACCGUCAUCAUAAUAACAACUAAUCAUCAUCAUCAUCACCAUCAUAGUCAUAAUCAACACUAGCUAAUUGUUCUUCCUACCUACGAGCUACUCCUCUCUGGUAGCUAUAAUAACAUAAAAUAGGUAAACUGGUCCAUCUCCAAAAUGGAGAAUGGAGAUCCACCUGUCGCCAACUUCUGGCUUGCACAAACACAUGUUGUCUCCAAUCGGUUGUGUGGGCGCCUUCUUUAAUUUGCACCAUUCUUUGAUAUCGAGGCUUCCAUAUUUCAAAGAAAUAGAGUAUGAAAUUUGGUAAGCCUCGGCGGAAAUGUUCAUAAGCUAAACAUGUACAUACUCCCUUCAGUAAGCAUCAAUGGAGGCACAACCUCGCUCGGGAGAUUUUGUUGAACAACAUAGUAACAUGUAUAGUUAGCAAUAUGUAGUUUACUUAAGAAUAAUUUAUGCAAAGAAGUUACCAUCUUUAACAAAAUCAUACCAUGUUUUUCUUAAUGAAGUUACCAUCAUGCAACUGAUGGACUAGUGGCACGUAUCCAAUAUAAUUUGGGCUCAAAAAGUGAUUGAUCUUAAAAGUCUUAAUGAGGGAGUCCUGGAUUAGGGGGUGUUCGGAUAGCCGAACUAUACCUUCAGUCGGACUCCUGGACUAUGAAGAUACAAGAUUAAAGACUCCGUCCCGUGUCCGGAAGGGACUUUCCUUGGCAUGGAAGGCAAGCUUGGUGAUACGGAUGUUCAGAUCUCCUACCAUUGUAACCGACUCUACGUAACCCUAACCCUCUUCGGUGUCUAUAUAAACCGGAGGGUUUUAGUUCAUAGGACAACAUACACAUCAACAAUAAUACCAUAGGCUAGCUUCUAGGGUUAGGCCUCUCUGAUCUCGUGGUAGAUCUACUCUUGUACUACCCAUAUCAUCAAUAUUAAUCAAGCAGGACGUAGGGUUUUACCUCCAUCGAAGGGCCUGAACCUGGGUAAAACUUCGUGUCCGUUGCCUCCUGUUACCAUCCGGCCUAGACGCACAGUUUGGGACCCCCUACCCGAGAUCCGCCGGUUUUGACACCGACAUUGGUGCUUUCAUUGAGAGUUCCUCUGUGCCAUCACCGUCAGGCCCAAUGGCUCCUACGAUCAUCAAUGGCGAUGCAGUCCAGGGUGAGACCUUCCUCCCCGGACAGAUCUUCGUCUUUGGCGGCUUCGCACUGCGGGCCAAAUCACUUGGCCAUCUAGAGCAGAUCGAAAGCUACGCCCCUGGCCGUCAGGUCAGAUUCGGAAGUUUAAACUACACGGCUGACAUCCGCGGGGACUUGAUCUUCAACAGAUUCGAACCACUGCCGAGCGCGCCGCACUGUCAUGAUGAGCAUGAUUUAACUCUGCCGCUGAACGGUGCCCUGGAGGCCGCACCCGCACCGGUCCGACCCUUAGUUCAGAGUCAACUGCGCCGAUCGAGGAUGAGCGGUUGGACGCCACCUCGGGGGCUGCGAUCCAAACGGCGAUUGAGCCGAACACCAGCCCUGUACUCUGCGAGGCUCGUGACUCCAAGGAGCCGGACUCCUCUCUGAACUCCGAGCCCUCCGCGCCCCUGCCAGUCAAAUCCGAUUGGGCGCCGAUCAUGGAGUUCACUGCCGCAGACAUCUUUCAGCACUCGCCUUUCGGCGAUAUCCUGAAGUCACUGAAGUCUCUCUCUUUAUCAGGAGAGCCCUGGCCGGACUACGGUCAGCAAGGUUGGGGUACGGACGAUGAAGAAAUUCAAAACCCACCCACCAUCCACUUUGUAGCCACUGUCGACGACUUAACCGACAUGCUCGACUACGACUCCGAAGACAUCGAUGGUAUGGACGCCGAUGAAGGAGAUGAUGAAGAACCAGCACCUGCUAGGCCCUAGAAAGCCACCUCAUCAUAUGACAUAUACAUGGUGGACACCCCAAAAGAGGGAGAGGGCGAUGGAACAGCGGAGGAUGACCCCUCCAAGAAACAGCCCAAGCGCCGACGUCAGCGGCGCCGCUCAAAAUCCCGCCAACACAAAAAUGGUGAUUCCAGCACGGGAGAUAAUAAUACUCCGGAGAGUGCCGAAGAAAACCCCCUCCAGCAAGGUUUAGCACAGGAGGAUGGAGAAACCAGCCCUCAUGAGAGAGCGGCAGACAGAGAGGUCGAGGACGAUAAUUAUAUGCCUACCUCCAAAGACGAGGCAAGCCUCGACGACGACGAAUUCGUCGUGCCAGAGGAUCCCAUUGAGCAAAAGCGUUUCCAAUGCGGGCUUAUGGCCACGGCAAGAAGCCUCAAGAAAAAAUAGCAGCAGCUCAGAGCUGAUCAAGAUUUGCUGGUUGACAGAUGGACUGAAGUCCUUGCGGCCGAAGAGCAUAAACUCGAACGCCCCUCCAAGAGUUACCCAAAGCGCAAGUUGCUACCCCGAUUAGAGGAGGAAGCACUUGAUGGGACCGAACGGCCACCUCGUGGCCGCGACAGAGAGGCCUCCCGGCCCUCCACUCAAGCCGCACCCCGUACCAAGGCACAGGAAUAUGCGCCGGACUUACGAGACAUGUUGGAGGACAAGGCAAGGCAAACACGAUCGUUCUACGGAUCGCGUGGGCACCCCACGGCUCGAGACAGUAACUGUCACGCCGGCCACAAAUUCGGCAGGGCCCAACAUAGUAGACAAAGCUCAUUGGAGCUACGUCAUGAUAUCGCCCAGUACAGAGGCGCCGCACACCCACUGUGCUUUACAGACAAAAUAAUGGAUCAUCAAAUCCCCGAGGGUUUCAAACCCGUAAACAUCGGAUCAUAUGAUGGCACAACAGACCCUGCGGUAUGGAUCGAUGAUUAUCUCCUUCAUAUCCACAUGGCCCGCGGCGACGAUUUUCACGCCAUCAAAUACCUCCCACUCAAGCUUAAAGGACCAGCUCGGCAUUGGCUCAACAGCUUGCCAACAGGAUCAAUCAGUUGUUAGGAGGACCUAGAAGCCGCAUUCCUCGACAAUUUCCAGGGCACUUAUGUGCGACCCCCAGACGCCGAUGACCUAAGUCACGUAAUCUAGCAGCCAGAGGAAUCAGCCAGACAAUUCUGGACAUGGUUCCUAACAAGGAAAAAUCAAAUAGUCGACUGUCCGGACGCUGAGGCCCUAGCAGCCUUCAAGCACAAUAUCCAUGACGAGUGGCUGGCCCGGCACCUCGGACAGGAAAAGCCGAAAUCUAUGGCAGCACUCACGACACUCAUGACCCGCUUUUGCGCGGGAGAAGACAGCUGGCUCGCUCGUAGCAACAAUAUGACCAAGAACCCUGGUAGUUCAGACACCAGGGAUAUUAGUGGCAGGUCGCGUCACAACAAGCAGAAGCACCGCAUUAACGGCGACAAUGCUGAGGAUACGGCAGUUAGUGCCGGAUUCAGAGGCUCUAAAUCCGGUCAGCGGAAGAAGCCAUUCAAAAGGAAUCCUAGGGGCCCGUCCAGCUUGGACCGAAUACUCGACCGCUUGUGCCAAAUACAUGGCACCCCCGAAAAGCCGGCCAAUCACACCAAUAGGGAUUGUUGGGUGUUCAAGCAGGCAGGCAAGUUAAGCGCCGACAAUGAAGACAAGGGGCUGCAUAGUGAUGACGACGAGGAGCCCCAGCCGCCGAACAACAAUGGAUAGAAGGGUUUUCCCCCACAAGUGCGGACGGUGAACAUGAUAUACGCCACCCACGUCCCCAAAAGGGAGCGGAAGUGCGCGUUAAGGGACGUAUACGCGGUAGAGCCAGUCGCCCCAAAGUUCAACCCAUGGUCCUCCUGCCCGAUCACCUUUGAUCAAAGAGACCAUCCCACUAGCAUCCAUCAUGGGGGAUUUGCCGCAUUGGUUCUAGACCCAAUUAUUGACGGAUUUCAUCUCACUAGAGUCCUCAUGGACGGCGGCAGCAGCCUGAACCUGCUUUACCAGGAUAUAGUGCGAAAAAUGGGCAUCGAUCCCUCGAGGAUUAAGCCCACCAAAACGACCUUUAAAGGCGUAAUACCAGGUGUGGAGGCCAACUGUACAGGCUCAGUCACACUUGAAGUGGUCUUCGGAUCCCCGGAUAAUUUCCGAAGCGAGGAAUUAAUCUUCGACAUAGUCCCAUUCCGCAGUGGCCAUCAUGCACUGCUCAGACGAACCGCAUUCGCCAAAUUCAAUGCGAUACCGCACUACGCAUACCUUAAGCUCAAGAUGCCAGGCCCUCGUGGAGUAAUUACGGUCAAUGGAAACACCGAACGCUCCCUCCGAACGGAGGAGCACACGGCGGCGCUUGCGGCGGAAGUACAAAGCAGCCUCUUCAGGCAGUUCUCCAGUCCGGCCAUUAAACGUCCGGACACCGUCAAGCGCGCUCGGAGUAACCUACAACAAGACCGCCUGGCACGUUCCGAGCAGGCGUAGCAAUGCGGCCCCAACCCCAACCCUCACAAAAAGGCGACGCCAAUACUUCGCGUACAUAACUACGCUCUAGAAAUACCAUGGGCUUAGGGGGAGGGGCACCAUCACAGCACGCCCAAAACACGGCUUAAACCGCACCAGGGGUUGCUGAUUUUUUACUUUUCAGGACUCUACUCUUCGGAAGGCCUGUUCGGCAGUUAAAUUGCCGCACAAACGAUGCAAGGACCAGGGAAGCAGACAAGCCAUGCCGCAUUACGAAAAUCCCAGGUGGUCUCUAUCACGAGCAGUAUACCUGUUUCGCAUACUAUUUCGUAGCUUGCCCCUGAAGCAGACAUGUUAAAUAGUCAAACUUUUCGUUUAUCGCAUUACUUGUAUCGUUCUGCUUUGAUCGCAGCUAUUUUUAAACAAUGCAUAGCUUUUGUUUAUUUUCGCAUUAUUUUUUUAUAAAUAAAUGUUCCUUAACGACAUGUUGCACCCGUACAACUUGGUACGGCCAAAAUACGCUAGGGGAUUUUAGCACCCCUCAAUAAGGUGUGAGAAGUCCGAACACUUUCACAAGUGCGGCACCCCGAACUUAUAGCACUAUAUGCAUCGGCUCUGAAUCAUGUCUUGGGUUACUACUUGGGUUUGCCCGGCUCCUAUGUUUUGGUGCCUUACGUUCCGCUAUAUCGGCUAGGGUAGCACUAGGAGAACCACUGCGAUUGUGCCCCAGUUGAGCUGGGCCGAGCACCUCAGUGGAGAAAGCUAAAACUGACUGUCAUGAUGAAGCGAGAGCUGGUCGCUGUUCGAGAGGUUUUUUCGAGUCCCUAAAGACUUAUGCCGCUUAGGGCGAGGAGUCGGCUCUGUCCGGCCAAGGCGUGGAUAGCGCCCCAAACUCGGUCUUCCGAAUACUAGGGGCUUCGCGAAAAUUUAAAAUUAUAGAAUUCUAUGGCUAAGUGAGAGUGUUCACGCAUUAUAAUCCGAUUGCCUCGUUUGUUGGGCUGAGCGCCUCCCUCGAAGGACCCAAAUAUGGGAAAAAGAGCGCUCAGGUUUAUCCUCGAACACCCCAGCACUAGCGGCAAGGGGGCAGAAGCCGACGACUCGCCAUCUCUCAGUAUUGAUAAACAGCCGCACAAAAGGUAAUAUUUUAAAUUCAAGCAGCAUUGCUCAGCGCAUAUGAACAAGUUUUUAGCGCACAGGACAAACACGAGCGAGUUUUACUCAAAAAUUACAUCCCUAGUACAUUCAUCCGCCACAAGGCGGGCACCCUUCAGAACAUCCUUAUAGUAAUUUCCGGGCUUGCGAUGCUCUUUCCCCGCUGGUGGCCCGUCCUUCACAAGCUUCUCCGCAUCCAGCCUGCCCCAGUGCACCUUAGCACGGGCAAAGGCCCUACGGGCACCUUCAAUACAGACGGGGCAUUUGAUGACUUCGAGCCUUGGACAGGCAUCCACCAGCCGCCGCACCAGCCCAAAAUAGCUCCCAGGCAGAGCCUCUCCAGGCCACAUCCGAACUAGGAGGCCCUUCAUGGCCUGUUCGGCCGCCUUGUGGAGCUCGACCAGUUGCUUCAGCUGGUCGCUCAGGGGCACGGGGUGUCUGGCCUCAUCAUACUGAGACCAGAACACCUUCUCCAUCGAGUUGCCCUCCUCGGCUUGAUAGAAUGCGGCGGCAUCGGAUACACUCCGGGGAAGAUCUGCAAAUGCCCCUGGGAGCUCCGUAUUCGGGUAAGUAUCAAGUAACUCACGUUUACGUGUUUACUUUGCAUAAAGAAUGCCUUACCCGCCGCUAUCUUCUUCACCUCAUCCAACUCCUGGAGGGUCUUCUGGGAUUCGGUCUUGGUAGACUUGGGCAUUUUCAAUAGCCGCCGCAAGCUCGGACGCUCGCGUCUUCGAGUCAAGCUCCAAACUCUCAUGUUUCUUCAUGAGAACCUGGAGCUCUUGCCGCACCUUGCCAACCUCGGCCUCAUACCUCUCCCGCUCGAUGCGCUCCGCGGCCGCAGUCUUCUCGGCCUCGAGCAGCGCUUGCUUAAGGGUCGCCACCUCAGAUGUGGCCCCUACAAUAGCCAUGUUAAUCCUGUCAUUUCUUGCAAUUGCACCUUUUUUAUAUAUACAUAUUCAACCAAGGUAUUUCUUACCUUCAUUGUCCUUGAGCUGCUUCUUGGCACGCUCGAGCUCUUGCUCGACCUUUCGAGGUCCUGCUUUAGCGUGUCCACUUCCGCAGUCAGUGCGGCGGACGCAAGCAGGGUAGCCUGCACAUGCAUAUUGACUCAUUUUUGUUAGACUCCUGCGAAUUCUGUUUGAUCCUCUAUUCGGCUUUUCUUCCCGAACGCCAAACAGAGCAUCAGGGGCUACUGUCUAUGCGGUACUAUUAUUUACACUUUCUUUACUUACCUCGAAGCCUGUCAAAAGGCUAGUACAAGCUUCAGUCAGUCCGUUUUUUGCAGACUGAACCUUCUAGACCACCGCACUCAUAAUAGCGCGGUGCUCCUCGUCGAUGGAGGCGCCUUGGACCUCCAGCAUAUUGUCCAGCGCCCCCGGUUGGACGGAGGCCGCCGGCACGGUGGACUUGCUCCACUUGGAAGGAGGUCCCCCGCCGGACUGCGGGACCUUUGAAGGUUCUGGAGCGGUGUCCGGCCUAGAGUCGGACUUGGAGCCCUGGGGGGUUUCAUCCCCCUUACUCCUGGAGUCCAGGAGGUCGCCUUGCGGCGCCUCCGGGACCACCUCCUCCCUGCUUGGAACCUCUUGGGACAACACCUCGGUGUCGUCCGUAGGGCGGGGGGAGGAAGCCGUCAGAAGCGAGUUCAUAUCCGACGAGUCCAGUGAGCCGCUCGACGACGCGUCGAGCCGGUCUUUGGGUGGGAUGCAUAAGCAAAUUCGACAUAAGGGAAAGCUGUGCAAUAAACGAAUACUAUGAAUUACUCCGGUAUCCAGAUACUUACGAUUUUGCCAGGGGCUUGGCCCUGGGCCGCCACUCAUCUCCGCCGUCGUCGGCGUCGGCGGAGUAGUCCGGAGGAAGGGUUUUCCCCUUCUUGGACCCUCCGGCCUCCUCAGAGAGGGCGGCCUUCCUUUUCUUCUUUCCUCCCGCUGGAGGGGGAGAGGUUUCUUCUUCUUCCUCCUCGUCUUCGCGAGAGGAAGGCACUUCGGGACCGUCGGAUGAUGAAUCCGACACCUCCUGGCGUCGGGUGCUCUUUCGAGUCCCCGUGGCCCUUUUUGUGGCCUUCUUCUCUGGCCCCACAUAGGGCGCCGGAACCAGCAGCCUCGCCAAGCGAGCGUCCGCUGGGCCUUCGGGCAAAGGGGCCGGACAGUUGAUCUGUCCGGACGUCACCUGCCAAUCCUGUCAGAGGAAAGGGAGCUUAGAUCCUGCAUAGAGUCAAACUAUGGAAAACUGAUACCCUAUAAAAGGAAAAAAUAGCUUACCGCGAGCGCGUGACGCUGCGCGCUGAAUCCGCGAUCCUCGGUAGCGGAUGCACGAGCCUCGGCACCCUUGAAAAGCAUCCUCCAGGCAUCUUCGUACGUCGUGUCGAAGAGCCUGUUUAGAGUUUGAUGUUGCGCCGGGUCGAACUCCCAUAGAUUGAAGGCCCGUCGUUGACACGGGAGGAUCAGGCAGAUGAGCAUAACCUGGAUUACGUUGACAAGCUUGAACUUCUUGUCCACCAGCGUUUGGAUGCAUGUUUGGAGUCCGGUCAGCUCUCCUUUUUUACCCCAAGACAGGCCUGUCUCCUUCCAGGAGGUGAGUCGCGUAGGGGGGGCGGAUCGAAACUCAGGGGGUGCGACCCAUUCAGCGUCGCGCGGCUCGGUGAUGUAAAACCACCAUGAUUGCCACCCCUUCAGGGUCUCCACAAAGGAGCCCUCGAGCCACAGGACAUUGGCCAUCUUGCCAACCAUGGCACCGCCGCACUCCGCCUGGCUGCCACGCACCACCUUUGGCUUGACGUUGAAAGUCUUAAGCCAUAGGCCGAAAUGGGGGCGGAUGCGGAGGAACGCCUCGCACACGACAAUGAACGCCGAGAUGUUGAGGACGAAGUUCGGGGCCAGAUCGUGGAAAUCCAGGCCGUAGUAGAACAUGAGCCCCGGACAAAUGGAUGCAGAGGGAAGCCCAGUCCGCGGAGGAAAUGGGGGAGGAAUACCACCCUCUCAUGGGGCCAAGGAGUGGGGAUGAGCUGCCCCUUUUCGAGAAGCCGGUGCGCGAUGUUGCUAGCCAGAUAUCCGUCCUUCCUCAGCUUUUUGAUGUGUCCCUCCGUGACGGAGGAGACCAUCCACUUGCCUCCCGCUCCGGACAUGACUGGAGAAGGUUGAGGUGGUAGUGCGGACUUGGGCGCUGGAGCUCGAGUGCGCAAGAAUGGAUAGGCAAAGGGGGAAGAAGGCGUAGGUGAAAAGGUGGAUCCUUAUCCCCUUAUAUGGAUGGACGCAACUAUGUGUCCCCACCAGCCUGGUAAAACUCGCUUAUCUCCAAGCGCCGUAAUCAAUGGCGCGGUUGGGUUACCCACGCCCGUAUUGAUGAGAAUCCCGGAAUAAGGGGACACGAUCUCUGCUUUAACAAGACGUGCCAAGGAAACCGCCUCGCAUAACGCGCUAAGAUGGGACAGUAAAACGGUUCGAAUAAAAGCUUGGCUGUGGUGUGAUGUCACACUACGGAGUACGUCAGCAGAUUAGAUUUGUGUAAAUAUUAUUCUCUCUAUGGCAAUAUGUGGAAACUUAUUUUGCAGAGCCGGACACUAUCUUUGUGUUCAAAAUCUUCUAUGAAGUACUUGGAGGAGGAACCCGCCUUGCAAUGCCGAAGACAAUCUGCGCGCCGGACUCGUCGUCAUUGAAGCCUGGUUCAGGGGCUACUGAGGGAGUCCUGGAUUAGGGGGUGUUCGGAGAGCCGAACUAUACCUUCAGCCGGACUCCUGGACUAUGAAGAUACAAGAUUAAAGACUCCGUCCCGUGUCCGGAAGGGACUUUCCUUGGCAUGGAAGGCAAGCUUGGCGAUACGGAUGUUCAGAUCUCCUACCAUUGUAACCGACUCUACGUAACCCUAACCCUCUCCGGUGUCUAUAUAAACCAGAGGGUUUUAGUUCGUAGGACAACAUACACAUCAACAAUCAUACCAUAGGCUAGCUUCUAGGGUUAGGCCUCUCUGAUCUCGUGGUAGAUCUACUCUUGUACUAUACACAUAUCAUCAAUAUUAAUCAAGCAGGAUGUAGGGUUUUACCUCAAUCGAGAGGGCCCGAACUUGGGUAAAACUUCGUGUCCCUUGCCUCCGGUUACCAUCCGGCCUAGACGCACAGUUCGGGACCCCCUACCCGAGAUCCGCCGGUUUUGACACCGACACUUAAAAUCAUCUAUAAAUGAGACAAGAUAUCCUUUCUCCUCAUAAUUAAUCUUGGAGUCAUAGCCGUAGUACGUCCUGUCCACAGCUUUCCGAGUAUUUCUUGAAGAUAAGAAAUAAGCUGAGAAUUAUAAAUAAACAAAAUUAGUAGCGAUGAACACCAAAUAUUUUUAAAGAAAAAUUAAUUACUUAACAAAUUAGUUUGACAAACUCACAUUUAGGCAAAAUAGGAGGCAUAUCCACAUCGACCAAAAUGUCGAUAUUAUCUUCAAUAUCUUCAUCUUCAGGAGGAAUAUCAAAGAUUAUUUGCAUAUUCUCCGAAAAUCCAUGAUGAGGAAAUGGCUACCACAGUUACACUGACAACCCCUUCUACUAUGUCUAUUGGACUAAUUACUAAAGCUCGCGCACACCAGUUAAAUUAUCAGGUACUUUCGUUUCUUGGUAAUGUUUCUAAUGUUCAUGAGAAUGUGAUGCUACCUAACUUGGAUAUAUUUGUGUUGAUUAUAGUUGACGGGCCUAGCAUGGAAAAUAAGGAUGAACAUUGGAGCACUAUCAAGCACUGUGAUGAAGGCGCGCACGAAGGGAACAAGAACGGAGUUUUCGGAGGAGAUUUCCGCACUUUGAAGCCACCAUGAUGACAUACAUGAAGAUGAACGAAAUAUACAAGAUGGUCUUUCAUAAAUUUCGUCCAUAGCUUAUUAUUGGUGUUUCUCACCUUAGUUUUGGGUUAGGCCCACAUAUUUUCGAAAUACAUCUCUUUAGGCUGCUUUUAGAGUCCGUAUUGUAGGGGAAAUGACUUAGGAGGUGUUUUAGUCCCACCUUGCCAUGGGUGGACGAAGGCCCUCUCCUUUCCCCUUUAAAUACAACCCUGAAGGCACCGUUUAGACUUGGGUUUUAUUUAGUUAAAAGUUAGCCAUUGCUGCAACUUCAUGUAAUUCGUUUGUGUACAACAACCAGGCCAAGACCGCUUUUGAAACCCCACUUUCAUCAAUACUUCAUCCAUAUUCGCAAUAGUCAGAUUGCUUUAUCAUAUUCUUGCUUGUUCUUCGAUUGCCUGCAGGAAUAGACCUUCGUCGUCAGAUUGAGCCUGGUGAAUAACCUCUUGGGGUUGGUUUAGCGAUUACUAAGGCACAACGUCGUUGCACAUUUGUAGCCGGAUCAUCAAAGUCGUCUCCACCAAAUCGAUCGUCAUCAUCUCAUCGAAAGAUCAGAACCCUUGCCUCUAUCAAUCCAUAGGCUUUGAAGAGAGCUCCCCAAUUUGAGCAACCAAAAUAGUAGCGACUAAGCGCAUUGCGGAGCUUAACUUGAAAAGCAUAACCAUGUUUAGUCCUGAGGUGAGCUAUCCUCGUCUCCAUAUUCUCAUAGCCUUGGAAACCAAGCUUCUCCAAGACAUAAGGUCUUGCAUGGCAGCGGAUAUACUACUCGAAUUAAAAAACCCUAGAAAUUACACGUUGAAGCAAAGAAUCACAAGUCAUGAUUAAUUAUGAAGAAAUACUUGUCGUCGUUGCAUACCGUAAAAACAUCAAAGGUCUCUUCCAGCUCGACGGUGAAGAACCUACCAUUUUGUGGGUGAGGCAUCAUGUUGCAUAUACCCCGGUCAUCGGAGCAGUAUUCGCCCUCCGGGAUCCUAUAAUCAUCAAACAUUUUCUGUGUUCAAAAUUCAAAGAUUAUAAAUUGACGACAAUCACCAAGAACUCAACAAACAGAUCACUAUUCACCAUGGAUUGACUUUCGGUCCGUCGAGACUUUCCUUGAUGUUGGGCACUCCCUCUCUGAUAUAUUCGACCGUCGGUGAUGGUCGCUCCUUCCUUCGUUCCCGAGUGCAUUACACCAAAAUGUCUAGCAGACGAGAGCGAAGGAGAAGCAACCCCCACGACAAUAGUCAAGAUUCUUCCUCUCUCAUAUUUGUGACCGUCAGUGAUGGUCGCUCUUCUCUUCCUUCCCGUGCAUUACCAAAAGUUAUAUCAUGAGAAGGAAGAGGAAGAGCGACCCCAACGACAACAGUCGGCAUUCUUAUUCUCUCAUAUAUGGUGGACACUCCCUCACUGAUUUUUCGACCAUUGGUGAUGGUCGCCCUUCUCUUCCUUACCGUGCAUUACCAAAAGGUCUAUCACGAGAAAUAAGAGGAAGAGUGACCCCUCACGACAACAGUCAACAUUCUUCUUAUCUCAUAUAUGGUGGACACUCUCUGUCACUGAUUUUUUUUACCGUCAUGUAUGGAUCCCCGACAGACUUAAAGUCAACCCAAAAUGUCGUUUAAUUCUCUUCCAGCAAAUCCAGGACACUCGAUAUUUCCUAUAUAUUCUAGCACAUAUCGAGCGUCUGAAAUUCAUGGGAAAUUCCGGCAUGAUCUUUGCUAAAAUAGGACAUAUCGAGCGUCUGAAAUUUGCCGAAACGGAAAUGAAUCAACACUCCGGCAAAACAUAGGCCACACGGAAGUGUUCCAUGCAAACACAUAUCCUUGAUUUUCGUAUUUAAGCAAGUACAUAGACCAUGUUUACUCACUAUAGACGAUGGUUAUUGACAAUGCGGGAGUGUCCUCGGUGUUCUUCUAGGGGUCAUCAACCGGUCGUCGGUGAUGUGCCCGGGGCCACAUAUGAGCAUUUAUAUAGAAAUUUUCAAACUUGGCGCUCGUUUCAUUUCAAUGGUUCAAUAUUGACAAAAACAUUUCAAUAUAUCUUAUAACCCUAACAUUCCACUUGGACAGCAAGCAUAACUAAAUACACUAGUUUUUCAAGAGAGUAGGUCUCUCUCUCUCUCUCUCUCUAAAUUUGGCAGUGUGAGAAUGACAUAAAAAUAUUCCAAAACACCUACAUUUACUGAAAAAAUUCUACUCUAUUCUAUUCAAAACACCUACAUUUACCGAAAAUUUUCUAGUCUAUUCAAAACACCAACAUUUACUGAAAAAUUUCUAUUCCAUUGAAAUAAUGUACACUCUAUUGUAUUCAAAUAACAAUGCUAAACCUACUGCCUACAAGAAUAGAGGGAGGAGGCCGGGAUGGAGGGAGGGAGGAGGGCAGGAGGGAAGAAGGGAGGAGAGGGAGAGGAGGCCGGGAUGGAGGAAGGGAGGAGGUCGGGAUGGAGGAAGGGGGGCAGGGAAGGAGGGAGGGAGGAGGCCUGGAUGGAGGAAGGGAGGAGGGCCGCGAGAGGAGGGGAUUUCUCGGGGGCAAUGACGGGCGACGACUGCGGCGGACCACGGCAACGACAGAGAGAGCAAGCGCGAGAGAGUGUGAGGAGGAGAGUGAGGGGGAGAACGGAGUUGCGCCCGGGAGGAAUAGGACAUGCCCGUUAGCAGUAGCGCUGGGUACGAGCCGGCGCUACUGCUAAGCCCAUUAGUUGUAGCGCCUGUGCAGUGCCCACACUACAGCUAAGUGGGCUAGUAUCUUCCUACCCUAGUGUGCGGUGUGGCCCACUUAACAGUAGCGUCCUGUAGCCAACGCCGCGUUGCUGCUAAAUUAUAUCAGUAGCGCCUGUUAAUCCUAGCGCUACUGGUACUGGUACUUAACAGUAGCACCGUGGACUUAACCACCGCUACUACUGAUAUUCUACCUAUAAGCUAUUUGCUACUAGUGUAAUAUUGCUCCAUACAUAAACCAUAUCCAGGCAGAAGAUACACGUAUGAACUACUUCAAAUGCAAAGGAAAUCCAAACUGUACAUCCAUACAGUGGACAUUAGACAAUAGCAUAUCCAUGGCCAUGAUUACAAUACACUAACGAAUUUAAGGCUCACAUUGCUGCGCCCACCAUUUUCGCUCUAGAAUGUUAUGCAAAUCAUUUAAUAACCUAGAAUUGCUCCAUAAAUAGAAUAUAUCCAUGGAGAAGAUUUUUCUGUCCGUCCAUUGUUUGCUCUAGAAUGUUAUGCAAAUAUAUGGAUAUUUAAUAACCUAAUAUUGCUCCAUAAAAUAAACAAUAUCCAUGGAGAAGAUUGAUGCAUCCAUCCGUUUUCGUGCUGUAAAAUUUGAGAUUGAUGCAAAUAAAUGGAGGCACUUUACUUUAUAAUAAACUAGCAAACAUGCCUGUGCGUUACAAUAGAAAAAAAAAUCCUUGCACACGAUCUCAUAAUUUGUGAACGCGGUGCUAUAGAUGAUGUAAUCGCCCUGGCGUUUUAGAUGUGCAUGCACUUGCGCUUGUGCUUUGCUAUGGAUGAAGUGCAAGACUCAAGUCCUCCCGAGUCAAGCGAGGCGGGCUUCUACGGUUCUACUUGGGGGCACGGGCUUUAAGCAAAGUCCUUGACAAAAAAGUGAGCGGCAAGAAAAAUAUACAUGUAGUGCGGAUGAUUUUUUUGAUAGGUCCAGCAUUGCUGGCAUUCAUUGAUUUAGCAGGAGAGCACAUAAAACAUUGUUGAUCAAGUGAUAGAAGAAAGAAAGAAGAGAAGGGAAAGAGAUAGAAUGAAAAUGCAUUUAGGCCGUGCAACUAGUCUAUAUCUCACAGUGGAUCCCGAAGGGGCUCUCCAAUUUUUUCCUCCUACAAGGUGCUAUAGCUGAAGCAUUGAUCUUAUCGCCUUUAUCACAUCCCAAUUCUAUGGUUGCUUCCUCAGAAGACAUAGUUGUUGCGCUCCUGCCAUAUCUCCGAGGGAAUAAAGACGAUCAUGGACUUGAUGCUUCUUCUUGCAUGGCGCGGUGCGCCACAGUUGAUGAUGGAAGAUGUCCUCUAUUGUUGUUUUUUCAUUUGCUAAAAAUUUCCUGUCCGAGUGCACCACACCCAUUCCAGCUCGCGCCUGGUUCCAAAUGGCCACUGACGCACUACAGCCCCAAAAGAGAUGGAAGGAGGACUCCAGAUUCCUGAUGCAUAUUUGGCAGAAGUAUCCAUUGACCCAACCGCGUCAUUGCAGACAGUCGUUGCACCAUAGGCGGUUUUGCUGGAGGAGCCAUGAGAAGAUCUUUGCCUUUCCCGACGCCCAAGCCUUCUAGAACAUGGAUAGGAGAUUGUUGUUGCUUGCUUGUGGGAAUUGCAGCAGGUAGGCUGAAGUAGUAGAGUACUCUCUUGGGGCUGUGCAAUGCCAUCUGAUAGUGCCAGCUGGCACCCCUUCCUCUAAGGUGAUCCUAGCUGCGCUGUUCAAAGACGAAAGGAGGAUGAAAUCUUGGACAAUCAUUAUGUUGUUGUCGUGUCUUAGAUCUCCAAUCUUGGUUCCAUGCAACAUUGCAGUGGUGACAGUCAUGUUCUUCCGCCACGAGUGAUCGAAGAGUGCGGGGACGACAACACAGAGUGGUGAACCCCCAAUCCAGGAGGAGUGCCAUAAGGUUGCAGUCUUGCCGUCAUCGGCCGUUAUUGACGUGGCCGUGAAGAAGGAGUGGUCUGCAUCAUCGCAGGAGGGAGGUGGGACAGCCCAAGACCCGUGCGUCUUCCUGCACUCUAGAUGUUCCUGUGUCAUCUCCUCUAAAAGUAGGAGGACGUAUCCUCAUGGCUAGAAGUUUUUUCUUUUAAUAGAUACCAGGGAAAGAGCUCGUGCAUUGCAAUGGGAGAAAAAAAAUAACAAAUGCUCUUUUUUUCUUAACUCGUGUGUUGCCGCUUAUCAUCCUCACCCUCGCUGGCGGUGGUUUCAGUGCUCACACAACCAUAACACGUUUGAAUGUGAUCAAUCGUAAUGCAUGUCUCUCUCACUCUCGGUGUCUCCCCCCCUCCCUCCCUCCCUCCCUCCCUCCCUCUCUCUCUCUCUCUCUCUCUCGCGCGCGCGCGCGCGCGUGGGCGCUCGCUCGCUCAGAAUAANNNNNNNNNNNNNNNNNNNNNNNNNNNNNNNNNNNNNNNNNNNNNNNNNNNNNNNNNNNNNNNNNNNNNNNNNNNNNNNNNNNNNNNNNNNNNNNNNNNNNNNNNNNNNNNNNNNNNNNNNNNNNNNNNNNNNNNNNNNNNNNNNNNNNNNNNNNNNNNNNNNNNNNNNNNNNNNNNNNNNNNNNNNNNNNNNNNNNNNNNNNNNNNNNNNNNNNNNNNNNNNNNNNNNNNNNNNNNNNNNNNNNNNNNNNNNNNNNNNNNNNNNNNNNNNNNNNNNNNNNNNNNNNNNNNNNNNNNNNNNNNNNNNNNNNNNNNNNNNNNNNNNNNNNNNNNNNNNNNNNNNNNNNNNNNNNNNNNNNNNNNNNNNNNNNNNNNNNNNNNNNNNNNNNNNNNNNNNNNNNNNNNNNNNNNNNNNNNNNNNNNNNNNNNNNNNNNNNNNNNNNNNNNNNNNNNNNNNNNNNNNNNNUCAUAAAAUUUCACAUAGUUAAAAUCGGAGUUACUGUGUAAAAGAUAUGGAUAAUUUAGUAACGCAUUUGUUUUAGAUGGACCGCGGAUUCAUUUUAACCAUAGUUAUGGUCUCUCAUUUUUUAAUAAAUAUUAGUAUUUAUAGAAAAAAUAGCAAUGUAACUCUCAGUUAGAAAUUUCAGAAGUACUACGGGCAUCGACAACAAUUUGGUGGUUAUCGUUGCUACCGGCAUCGACAACAGCACUCGUAGUCAGUACAAAAUCAUGGACGCUCGCGACGAUUAGCUCCUAAAAUAAAUCACAGUCGAUCAUCAGUCUAUCUCUCCUCCUGGUCCCGACUUGACGACGUUUCCGAUCUUUUCAUCAGCCUAAAAAAGCUGGAUAAAGAACUUAGGACUACGGGCCGAGAAUGUAUGGGUCGGCUUGGUUUGCACGUACGUAGGAUGCAGCGAACAUAAAAUAAUAUCAUUGAAGCGAAAGAAACCAAGAAUAUUACAUCUCUUUAGAUAUAGAUUGGUAUGAAGUAGUGUGCAUAUAUCAGUUAGUAAUUGUGGAAGCAAUUUCUUACAUUGUAGCCAGAAUCUAGAACGCGGCUUAUAUGUGUGCUUUCAUAUUAAGAACCAGCUGGCUAGAACAUAGUGUGCAUAUAUCAGUUAGUAAUUGCGGCGCCGGGAUGUUCGCCUGGAACAGGAGACAGGACUCCUGUUCGCACAGCGAACGUCGGCCGAAGCCGUUGGCCGCCGCCUCGUCUCCGGGGAAACGCUCUGCAUGGCGACAGGCUCAGGAGAGGUAGAGAGCGAGAGGGAGGGGCUGGGCGGCAGCGCUCGGGAGAGGUAGAGGAAGUGGCUGGGCGGCGGCGCUCGGGAGAGGUAGAGGGAGGGGCUGGGCGGCGGCGAGGGGUGGGGCUGGUGUGGGCACAGGCGAGUGAACGCGUGCGAGGGAGGGAAGGCGUCGGCGCGCCGUCCCGUGACGCGCCGCCCAUCAGGAAUCAAUGGCAAGGCUGACCGACGGCAGCCUUGCCAUUGAUUCCCCGCGGGAACCGAGGCCGUUGGGGGAAGAUGAGGCGCCGUGUCGCUGACGCGGUUGGCCCGCUGUUUUUUCGCGCCAAAACAGCUCGCCCCGGCGCCCCCGAGCGCCCCCAGCGCGCCGGGUUAGGCCUGGGUCCGCCGGCGCGGUUUUCGGCCCAGGCCGGCGAAAAUCGGGCUCCUGAGGCGUGACUGGGCCGUUUUUUUGGUGCCAGCGCGAGAAAAUCGUCUUGGGAGGCCUUCCUAGGGCGCGGCUGGAGAUGCUCUAAGCCACUGGAAUCAGGAGGAGAACAAAAAGUGACACUGUCUAAUCAAACAAACACUUACUGAUAAAAAAAGACUCAAAAAAUUGUUCCUGUGGUGUUGUCGUGUCGUCAAUCCAUGCACUGCAAGGACUGCACUACUAUCAGCUCGAGAGAAGACCUCCCACUUGACGACGUAUUGUUACCUAGUAGACUUGAAACAUGCUUUCGUCACCUAGAAAAAGAGUAACAGUCGUUGAGUUAAAAGCUGCAAAAUUUUGGUGUAAAUAUAACUGAACAAAAGCUUAUAAUGAAAUAAGGAGUUAAAACAUGAACAAUGAAAAUAUUAACUUAGAACAUUAACUGAGAGUGAAAAUAAGGUCUUAGAAACUGAGGAAUUUACAAACUCAAUAUAGCAAAAUGAAAAGUACACCCUCUGUUUUUAAAUAUAAGACGUUUUGGCAGUUUAAAUUAGACUGCUAAAACAUCUUACAUUUGUGAAUGGAAGUACUCCGAGUAAUUAAUUCACAAAACCUCGGUGUACCUCUAACUGCAUAAAAAUACUAAACCAAUAAAUGAUGAUACCCUAGGCUGAUGAAUAAACAAAAAAUAGUAAUAUUGAACUUAACUGGAUCCCUAGAUUGAAAAUAAACUAAAAUGAAGAGGCUUAAAUUCAGUACAGUGCAGUCUCAAUGCUGCAUAUUUGCUACCCCCCCCCCCNNNNNNNNNNNNNNNNNNNNNNNNNNNNNNNNNNNNNNNNNNNNNNNNNNNNNNNNNNNNNNNNNNNNNNNNNNNNNNNNNNNNNNNNNNNNNNNNNNNNNNNNNNNNNNNNNNNNNNNNNNNNNNNNNNNNNNNNNNNNNNNNNNNNNNNNNNNNNNNNNNNNNNNNNNNNNNNNNNNNNNNNNNNNNNNNNNNNNNNNNNNNNNNNNNNNNNNNNNNNNNNNNNNNNNNNNNCCGGCAUCCUGCGCUAGCUCCCCCACUGGAGAUAAUGACCAUAAAAAGUGAAGACUAUAAAAAUGAGAAGAUAUAAAAAGUGAAGACUAAAAUAAAAUAUAACUUAAAAACAGAGAUCUCUGAAUGCUAAACAUGAUAUGAGUAGGAAAUAAGCCUGGACAUCGACUAUGUCGUCUUUACGCUUUCGCAUUUGACAUAACAACCAUCGACUAUGUUGUCUUCCACUUUGCUUUCAAAUUAGCAAAACAUAAACCUCCUCAAGAAACAAAAUAGAAGAAGUAUCACCAAGCAAAUAUCCGCAAAGUUUUAACACCCCAUGCUAGUUCCUCCAAUUUAUUCCUCAUAAGGAUGUCACUGUAGAAAAAAGAAACUUUAUUUCCUUGUAGAUUGAAUGUUUGUAGUUGAUGCGCCGCCCCGCCCCACGAUACAAACAAGAAGUUACAUCGACAUUAAUAAACAGUAUAACAUAGUGAGUUAGGAGCCUCCAUAGUGUUUUAAGUCUAUGAACCAUCGGAUCACUCUAAUGUACGAUUUAAAUCAGCUCAGUCGGCUUCAGGUCAUCACACAUUCAUGCACCGUUUCGUGGGCCGCUACUCCACAGAAUGAGCUUCGGAUUAUGUCUGUAAUCGGGCUGUCAAAGGCCCGGGUCCAGGCGAACGUGCAUGUUUACAAGCCCGAGUUUUCUUUUGGCAGGUCUAUUCCUCCGAAACUACUUCUCUAUUCCUUCGUCUGUGAUGCGCCGCCGCCGUCCUCCGUCCCGUCGACGAGCUUCUGCUCCGGGCCUGCCUCCCCGUCGAUGACCUUUACAUGCCAUGUAUUGUCCUCGGCAGGCCCCUUCUUUCAUGUUUUUAAUGUCAUGUCCUGAAGCAUUCCUUUGUGGCAGCUACGACUGCCGCCCGUCCGUCGGCGUCCAUCGUCGGUUGUCCUCCUCCUGCAUCCGCCUCCAUCCCCUUUCCUUUUUUCCGGGUUCUUCCUGUUGCGUGUCCGUGUCAUCCUUUUCUUCUUCCCAUUGACCUUCACCUUGGAUCUUCUUGUUUCAGGAAUUCUCGAGCUCAACGGUGUGAGUUGCUCUGCUGGGUUUGGAUUUGGCGUGAGGGCCACAUGAUGCUGCAUCUUCUCGAUUCCCCAUGUAUGACGCCCCACCCAUUUUCCUUUGUUUAUUAUGCUUUGUUUUCUUAGUUUAUAGCAGCAGGAUCAGGGGCAAGCUUUGAUGCAUCUUCGGUGAUGGACGAUGAUUGAGCGAUUUUGGCUAGAGGAGAAUUUACUGUGAUUUAGAUGUAAAUGAGGUUCUGAUCUGUAUUUUUUUUGGGAAACAUCAUGGGAGUUUUAUUAAUAAUUUGCAGGAUUUCAGUAUGCUAACACAAGAUUUAGAAAUAAAAUAAGGAGAAUGGUCAACUAUAUGAAAAAACAAUUAAACCAAUGUCUCUCAUAAUCCUCCGUUGAAUUGUAAUGUUUUCACGUAUGUAAGAACCUUUUUUCAGCAAGCUGGAAGAACUUUGGAAAAUAUGUUGACACAUUUUCUUAAUUUUCCACUCAAAAUUUGCGCUAUCCAGUGUGGUAAAUUUAGGAACUACUCCUACUUUACAGAAGUUCUAUUAGCAGUGUUGGGUAACAUGGAUUGAUAGGUUCUGGUGCCCAAGAAUUCACAUGCAGCCACUUCAUGGUGCAUUGUUUAGAAGCUAAAUUUGGCAAGUCAGAAACAUCAAUUAAGCUUUGAACGGUAAGUACAAAAUUCGAGAAUGAAGGCAAAAAAGAAUAGCUGCAUUGCAAUGGUAAUACUCGGAGUUCUGGUNNNNNNNNNNNNNNNNNNNNNNNNNNNNNNNNNNNNNNNNNNNNNNNNNNNNNNNNNNNNNNNNNNNNNNNNNNNNNNNNNNNNNNNNNNNNNNNNNNNNNNNNNNNNNNNNNNNNNNNNNNNNNNNNNNNNNNNNNNNNNNNNNNNNNNNNNNNNNNNNNNNNNNNNNNNNNNNNNNNNNNNNNNNNNNNNNNNNNNNNNNNNNNNNNNNNNNNNNNNNNNNNNNNNNNNNNNNNNNNNNNNNNNNNNNNNNNNNNNNNNNNNNNNNNNNNNNNNNNNNNNNNNNNNNNNNNNNNNNNUCAUUAUGUUAUGCUGGAGAUGGCUUGUUUUCCUUUGUACAUUUGAAGAUAAAACAACCCUUUCGAUGUUGGACAAUCACCAGAAUGGGGAGCUCAAUGUAGGGCAAGGUAUAUUUAAAAAAAAAAGAUAUACAAGAUUAGUCCAAAGAAUCAUUUUUUGCAAGUAACCUAUUUAUAUUAUUAUUAUAUUUUUAUCCGAGGUAAACCAAGGACAAUUUGUUCACGAAGAACCAUGUUGGAAGAACCAUUUGUACCCCGUCAAAAGAUGAUAGAAGUAUAGAAUUUUACACGAGAUUAAAAUAAUGUUUUCAUCGGUGAUUACACGAAAUAUAAAGUAGUGUUUUCAUCGGUGAAACCAACUUAUUAAUAAAAGUGUCGGUAUUAUGUAAAAAUGAGCGGGUGCGGCAAUGCGGGCCAUCAUGUUCUAGUGGAUACUGAAAAUCGAAAGGAAACAUCCUCCUAUGUUGUCUUCCUAACUUUUCUUAAAAUUAACACCACAUAACUUCCUAAUAAAUACUUGUAACCAAGCAAUUGUCCACGAGUUGGACAGCCCCCCAUGCUAACCCAUGAGUUCUUUUAUGGUACAUCUAUUUCUGGGAUCGGUGUAGUAUUGAAUCAUCUCAGCAGUUGAUUAUCGGGCUAGUUUUGUCAAAAGAAUAAUUCCUAACCGCGGUGACCAUCCUCGUCGGGUCUGGUCGUUGCCAUUGCCGGUCCUCCCGUGCCCUUCAAGUGGGUGCUCCAAGUCAUCAACCGUGCAUCGAAGCCACCAGCAGGCCACGGAGCGGUCGCUACAGCAUCGUAAUCAGCGGUGCCGUCACCGCUGUAGCUCCCUCUGAGGUGCCCCUGCUGCGUCUAGCGGCCCCGCGCGUGCCAUGGCGGUCUCAACACAUUGGUGCGUGGUCCAUCCCGAACUGUGUGCUAAACAAUCGGCUGAUCACGUACAUACUGCAUCCGGACAUGAUCAAUCAGUUUAUUUUAUAUAUGGUGACAUCGGGACAUGAUCAAUCAGUCAAUGGUUUCCGUUGCAUCUCAGCUCGGCAGGAUCGGUCCCUGCAGUUCCGUCAGAGCAGGAGAGCAAAACACACAGAUUUCUCAAUGGGUGUAGAGUUUUGGUAUCUAGAGCAUGUACAACCGGACUUCUCUACCCGUCCCAAGUGCCGGACACGCUGCCCGGUCAGUGCCCGUACAAAAAAAUGCCAUCCAACCGGAUGCCCCAUAUACGGUCCAAAUGCCGGAAUUACAGGCCCCAUAUCCAGCCGAUAUGGUGGAUAUCGCGACGCCCUGACGCGUCCGGACACGUUUAACAUGUCGGAUCUGACCCACUAUGGCUGACUUGACUCCACAUAAAUUGGACCCUAUCCGCACAGCGGAGGAAACCUAGCCGCAUUCCACUCCACUCGUAUUCAUAUAGUACCAAGCUCCUCACCGGCGAUCUCCGGUGUUCUCGUCCAUGGAGGCCACAGGAUCCGACUCCAAGAUGUCCGGAUCCGAAGUCUGGGAGCUCAUCCCGUGUAGCCCCGAGGAGCAGAUGGCCGUUUGGGAUGCUCUGCGACGCUUCCGGGGGGAAUGCCCUCCCCCGAUAUUCCCCGAUCCGAUGGUGGAUCUCUGCGUGUGGCCGAGGCCUCGCUGGCGGCCACAGGAUCGGAAGCGGUGACCACUGCUGUGCCGCCGGAACCAUUUACGUGGCUCCUCAACCCCGAGGUCGGGCGCCAAAGCGGAGGCCAUUUGCGCCUCCAUGAGUAACCGCCAAUCCGAAAUUUAGGCGCGAAAAUCCCUCCCCCAAGGUUGCGGGCGCGACAUGCAGAGACGGCUUCGACCCCUCGCGGUGGAGGCAACUUGUACAAUGCUCAAGGCGGAGGAGACAUUGGCAGCCUACGACGUAGAGGCGACUUCCUUAGCGUCGGAGGAAGCACUCUAUGCCCGCAUAGCCGAGAAGCGGCGACAGCAGGCGGUGAAGGAGAUGGCAAAAGAGCAAAGCCAGGCAAUCCGUGCCAUGGCCAAACUAUCCCCCAAGGAGGAGAAGGCCGAUGACGGCAGCAGAUCGGACAACUCCGGCAUUGAGCAGAUCCGCCUCAAUCUGUUCUUUGUCUUCGAGCACUACUGCCGCACGGAUGACGGAAAGGGCAAAGGCAAGAGUAAGGGUGGGUGUGGAUGAACUUCUCCCAUUGUGGCUGAAUUCAUAGUUAGUAGGGCAUGUGAAUUUGGUAGUUCGAUGACAUGUAUUUAGCUACGUUCGUAGGUUGCAUAAGAACAGUAUAGAUUAGAGGAUUCGGUUUGAUAUAUCCGGCUGUGGAGAAAUUUCUUUGUGUGUUGAACGGUCACUGUCCGUGGACCGGAAUUUUGUACUAUAUGUUGUAGAAGCUCUUAUUUUGUAUAUCUUUCAGUUUUACGCGUCAACAAAAGAUAGUACUGAUUUUUUACUAGUAGUAUUGAUGAAUCUGGUCUAUUUUCUAACGAAUAUUUUUGAUCUAUUCAUCUUCAAUCAUGACAGUAUAGCGAACGUCAGAGAUAAUAGAAAUUACAUCCGGAUAUGUAGAUCAUCUAAUGACGGCUACAAGCACUGAAGCAAGUCGAACGCCCGUUGUCAUCGCGCCUCCCUCGCAGGAUCCGGGCAAAACAUGCUGUAGUACGCAGUCGAGAAGUCGUCGUGCUAAGGCUUCAUAGGACCAGUGUAGAAGAACAUCAACCGCCGUCUAUGAAGAGUACUGUAGAUUGAAAGGUUCCAAUCAAAAGUCACACGAAUGUAGACGACCUAAUCUAGUCCAUUUGAUGGCUGGAAAUGGAUGUCUCGGAAAAAACUCUUCUAGAAAGGGUCAGAUAGUGAAAUUUUAGAAAAGUUUAUUUUGUGCUAAACUUACCCAAAAAUUUAGAACAGUGAUUUUGGCGUCAAUUCAACCAAGUACGAAUGAUGACCCAAUGCUAGUAUUUACUGGCCCUGCACAUGGUUUUCAAUUUCAGUUUCAAAAAAUUUCAGCACCAACCGAAAUCACUGAAGUUUCCAUUCAGCCAAAUGACCGAAAUAUUCACUUGAAUUCAAUUGAAAAUUUGAAAAAAAAUAUUUGAAUUCCCGUGCUGUACUGAAAUUUCUGAAAUAUUUUGGCUGAAACAUAAUAUUCCAAUGUCUACCAGAAUUACUGAAAUUCAGUUAAUUUCACUGGAAUCUCGUUGAAAGUGAAAACCAUGCCCUGCAACGACUGUGAUGACAGGGUCAUGUCGGUGGUGCCAUGGCACGUAAUCAUCAGACAAUGCAAGCCUUGCUGCUUUGUCCUAGCAGAUUUGGCACCUCGGUUUUCACAGCAAGAUCAUUGGCAGAGCUUGAAGUCAAUUGUUGGGCAGGCCAAAAAAUAAUAAUAACCUGUGGACGGGUGUUCUAAGGUCCAUGAGUGAAAAAAUCAGCGUACAUAGUCUAAAAUGUUGGACUGGCCAUGGGCCCAUCUAGCCUUGCCAUAGCUCCGCUUGGUGAGCAAGAUGUCAGUAAAAUCAUGGAUCUUGACUGGACAUGUGCUGUGAGUAUCUAUAUCUAUAUUUAUUUAUUUAUGUUGUAUUAAACAAGCACACAUUUUCUUUUCUAUGUACACCCUCACAAACGAACAUAGACAAAUCAACACCAUGCGAAAUUCUACAGCUAAGAUGGAUCUAAUACACCGUAAUGCAGUUUCAGCAAGUCCUGCGUGGCAUUGGAAUACGGGGUGCUGAUUUCUUUGUUGACUUUAUUAGGAUGUGAUGUGAUUAGUUUCCUUCUUGUGAGUUAAACCUGAAUGGCUUGCGUCAUAUGAUACACCAUAUAUAGUACUUUCAUAUUUUUUAGGAGGGUAGUUUUUUCAUGUGUCACGAAUAUGAUUACUGUGGUGUUGCUGUAUAUUUUUUAUAUGGUUAGUUAUUAAUUUUCUUCAUUAUUCAAAAUACUUGUAACCACUAAGAUUUCAUUAUUUUUAUUUACCAUCAAGCAAUAUAUAUUACUGUUGUUUGUUGACCCCCUUGAUCCUUCACUGAUAUUUUACCUAGGCAACUUCACAUGAAAUUAGGAUAACUUAAUAAGACUCUGGCAUCUUUUUCGAAUUUUCUUGCUUUAUACAUGAACCUAUCAUCAAGAUUUCGAUCUCUUAUAUGGUGCAUGUGCUGCUUUAGAUAUGUUGGUGUUGAUUUGCAGUAAGAGGAAAUGUAGUAUUGUUCUCAUCAAUUUCUUUCAUACCAUACUUAAUGCAUUACAACAUCAGUUUCAUUGGGUUGGAAAAGGUGUUAAGAAUGUCACCAUUUUUACUUGAUGCUUCACUGGGAUCAAUUUCGAGUUCGUCCAGGUUCUGAAUAAUUCUUCUGUUUCCGGGCAGGCUACCAAUCUUCAUCAACGAGGAUGGGGUUGUGGUGGCGGAGACGGCGUUGCUGGAUGACGCUGUGAGUAUAGUGUGUGGGUGUAAGUACAUCCGUCCGUGCUAGCAAUAGCAUGCAGCGGGUCUAUGGACGGGGAAAGCCACGCAGAGAAUGCAGUGUUCAUGGCGGCCGAGCGGGAAGGGGGACAGGCAGCUUGCCAUGAUUGAAGAACAUGAUGACCGUGCAGGUACAGGGUCAGUGAUGUUGACAGGGAAGAUGAACCCUCAUGUGCCUGGGUGGAUGAAGAGUUAAAUGGUUCGAUUUUAUGUGCAUAUGCUUAUCGUCAGUGAGGAGUGGGUGAUUUGAUACAUUAACAAUAAACUGAAUGUGGGAAUCAAACGCAGAGAAGGACUUGGUGAAAAAGCUAAGGCAAAAUAACAUCAAUGUCGGAAAAGUGUAUAGUAUCAUAUGAAGUUUAUUAGGGGAUAUCCAAAAGGUCCCAUUUACUAAGAGGUCCCUAUGUAAUCUAUGUGGGAAGCUAAACAAAAAAUCAAGCCGAAGAUGACAUGCACAAGACAAUUGAGGUGUUUACAGAUAUGGCGGCCAAGGAUCCAGAGUUUGUUUCCAGAGUGCAGCCGGAUGCUGAGUGUGGGAUUAAGUACCCGUUGUGGGCUACCGGAAGGAGCAAGAACAAGUACAUUUAAGGAGAAAAUGGGCAAAGCCGAUCUAAAUGGAAUUUUCUGUGAAAAAUGGUGAUCACCCAGAGGAUCCAGAGUGCGAACAGCCUGUUCAAAUCUUAGGUGCCGCCGGACUGCCCGAUGCUGAUGUUUGUGAAGCAAUAGAUGCGUUUGCAGUUCCACAGGGAAGCAGACAAGACCUACGACGAAAAGUGUAUGAAGACUCCCAGUGUUUCGAACUGUAAAUAUUGUAAUAAAACUUCCGUCACUUUUGGUGCUGACAUGGUCAAAAUAUGUGAACAACUGUAGGGGGGUGUUGUAGUGUAGUGCGACAUGUCCAUUGAACAACAUGCUAGCAAUAUAUACACUAGGGUGAUGUUUGAGCAAUUCCGCAUCCUGAUAUACGAGGCCCAGGCAAGUCACAUACACAUACCUGCACCUCCCUCCGUUUUUAUUUGGUCCGCAUAUUAGCUUUGGUCAAAGUCAAACUCUAUAAACUUUGACAAAGUUUAUAGAUAAAAAUAUUAACAUUUGCAAUAACAAAUCAAUACCAUUAGAUUCAUUAUUGAAUGCACUUUCACAUCAUAUAGAUUUGUUAUUGUAAAUUUUCAUAAUUUUAUCUAUAAACUUGGUCAAAUUUUAUAAAGUUUGACUUCAGUCAAAUCUGAUAUGCAGAGUAAAUAAAAAUGGAGGAAAGUUGGCCAUGUUUUGCUUGUGUCCAUUUUCCGGCAAAUCAGGGAAGCUGACAAGUACCUCUGAUUUACUAUUUCUCUCACAUACACAACGUGCACCUCCAUAUAUCUGAAUAUCGAUUCCCUUCCUAAUCAUUAGUUUUGGGCCUUGUUCACUGCAUAUACAGAUAUACGACCAUCUUAUAGAAAUAUGUUGUUUAAGGAUGAAGAGGUGGACAACUUUUUGGCUUUAGUUAUUAGAGAAGACACGUUCCUAUGUAAGAGAUUUAAGGUCAAUUAUCUCCCCUUGUUGUAAUGCUCAUCAUCUUACUUCAGACAUUGUUAUAUAUAUCCACCAUGGUUCACGACUAUACUUUUUCCAUACGUAUUUGCAAAGUUUGUCAGUAUUACUAUGCAGAGAACUCUUGUCAUGGUUCUGCAUUGUUGUGUUCUUUCAUUUGUCAAUUUCUUUUGCUUUGAAACAAUGUUGAUUGGCUGAAAGAAUGGUUAUGCAUGGCUUACACGCUUAUACCUACUUGAAUAUUAAAUUCUAUUAGCAAAUCCAUUAAGAACGGUGUUAACGUUUUACAUCUUGCUACAUGAAGCUGUGUACUGCAGGGAACAGUGUUACCAUUUCCAGUGGACAUUGACAAUAAAUUGAAGAUGUACAUUUCUUGAUUGGAAAUAUUAUACCUUCAAUUUAAUUCAAUUGUGGAUAUAGUGACAACUUUAUGCCCAGAAUAACAAAUGAUUAUGUGAGUUAUACAUUUUAUGAGGUGUAGGAAUUGGGACUGGUGACAACAACAUGUGGAGCGGCGCAACAAGUGGUGCUGCGGGGGUACUGGAGCCAGGGUAGUCAGACAAAUCCAAUGUUGUGCACAUCCCGAUGUACAUCUCGGGAGUGGUCCAAUCACGGACUGUGAUCGCCCAGCCAAUUCCUGGCAUCGCCCUAUUUGGAUAAGAGGCAUGUGGGUUCAUGAAACAAUCAACAUGUCUUUAUGACUUGAGAAUAGGAAUUCUACGCAGUUUGCAUCAAAUUUGAAAUUCUUAAGAGAGAUAUUUUAUGUUAUGAUAGAAUAAUUAUGUUUCAUAGUAUAACAUGCUUUUAGUCGAGACGUGUGUUGCACGUGCAUGCUUACUAAUAUAAUAAGCAAGCAAUGUGAUCUCAUCUUACUUAUUCUGCUACUACUAUUGUUUUGUUUGCUACCAAUCAAAUUGAACAAGCUGACCAUGGUUUGCUUGUGUUCAUUUUCCUGCAUCUAACCAGGAGCGGCGCCAGAUGCCACACACUCUUCAGCGACAGAUAGCUUCUAUGAAAGGACACUCCACCACGGCUGAUUUGCAGCUCUGCCUGUACGCCUCCUGCUUAGUAAAAUAAUCUUCUAAGAGCAUGUCUAGCUGAUCCCCUAAAUCCGGUUAGAGGAGUAAAGUUUUACUUCUCUUACCGGCACCUAGCCGAUCCCCUAAAGUCUAAAGUGGAGUAAAAAAAUACUCCUUGGCCCCGAUGAUGCCUAGAUAUACUCGGCCUCAACCUGGCCGAAUAAAAUUUCUGUACUCUUUUCGACGCCCCUCCUCCCUCUGCAUUGUUGCCGAGGCAGCUGACGACGACUAACCACCACCUCCGCCGCUACCUUGCCGCCUCCCUUGACCCUCAUCGUCAUUCUGCCGGUGUCCGAGUCAUUUGCCGGCUGUUCGCCAUCACCAUAAUUGAGUGGAAACGCAGCCGCCGUCGCAUCGACCAUUUCACCGGGAACCACCUCGUAUCCUCUUUCUCAUUUGCUAACCGGCAUCAAUUUCCAAACCUGAAUGUACUUUCUAGAUCACCACUGUUUGCUAGGCUUGUUGUGGGUGAUACUACUCCUUGCAACUAUACAGUCAAUAGUCAUGAUACACGAUGGGUGCGGAUGACAUCUAUCCUCCAUGGGCCACAUUUGUCAAAACAAUUUUGCAACUAAGGUAACAAAAGUUCUCACGUCGCAACACGUCAAGAUUCUAGUAGGAAGGAUGUUGAGAGACCUUUAGGUGUGCUUUGCAAGCGCUUUUCAAUCGUUCGUGGUACUGCCGAGUAUUGAUAAUCCAAGGUUCUAUGGUAAAUCAUGACUUGAUGCAUCAUUUUGCACAACAUGAUCAUUGAAGAUGAGAGAUUAAUGCCUGAGAACUUUUCAAAUCUCUUGUCAGAUACACCAUUCUCUGCCUUCCAUUGCAGCAAUUCUAGUGUGGUACCCAACUUUUUCUUAUCAUCUUCACAAUUUGGGUACAACAAUUUCUUAUGAUCCUCUAAAAUGCGCUGCAACUUUAACUUCNNNNNNNNNNNNNNNNNNNNNNNNNNNNNNNNNNNNNNNNNNNNNNNNNNNNNNNNNNNNNNNNNNNNNNNNNNNNNNNNNNNNNNNNNNNNNNNNNNNNNNNNNNNNNNNNNNNNNNNNNNNNNNNNNNNNNNNNNNNNNNNNNNNNNNNNNNNNNNNNNNNNNNNNNNNNNNNNNNNNNNNNNNNNNNNNNNNNNNNNNNNNNNNNNNNNNNNNNNNNNNNNNNNNNNNNNNNNNNNNNNAUUCAGGGAACCUAGCAUAGUUGUCAUCAUCUUCUUCUUCAUUCUGUUCCAUUAGAACCUCAUUUUCUCCGUGCUUGGUCCAACAGUUAUAGCCGGACAUGAAACCGGACGUAAACAGGUGGAUGAAGGACUUUUGAGCUGAGUAAUUCAUAUCAUUCUUACAGACACCACAUGGGCAAUACAUAAAACCGCCAUGCUUGUUUGCCUCAACUGCACGCAGAAAACUAUGCAUGCCAUUAAUGAACUGGGGAGAGCAUCGGUCAUCGUACAUCCAUUGCCGACUCGUCUUCAUUACACAACACCGAAAAAACCAAAUUAAUAUAAGUUCGUACAUAAAGUUCAUACACACUUAUUCUCAUAAAAUAACAUACACCUAUCUAGCUAAAGCAUUUAAAUGCAACAGCAAAUGCGAUCAACAUCGCAACUAAGGUAAUAAUUGAUCCAACAUCAUAAUGAUACCAAGCCUCUUCAUUAAUGGCAUAUUUUCUAGUAUUUUUAAUCUUCAAGCGCAUUGCAUCCAUCUUGAUCUUGUGAUCAUCGACGAUAUCGGCAACAUACAAACUCCAAUUUCAUCUUCUCUUUUUUAAUUAUUUUCAUUUUUUCUUUCAAAUACUCGUUUUCUUUUUCAACUAAAUUUAACUUCUUGACAAGAGGGUCGGUUGCAAUUUCCAGUUCACAUACCUCCUAGAUAAAUAUAUCUAUGUCAACUUGAUGGGCAUAAUUGUCAUAAACACGAAAUGCAACAAAUAGUUAUAGAAGAUAUUAUACCACAUCCGAAUCAUAAAUCGGACGAGGGCCGACGGGGACGGAUAUCAAAACCAUGGCACUACGUAUAACAAACAAUCAAACAAGUAAGAAAAUUAUACAAGCAACUAUCUAAAUCAUACAAAUGUGCUUUUUCUUUCACAAAAAAAAAGAAUAAGAGAAAGAGCCUCACCAAGGUGGUGCCAGUGACGGGACGGUGCGGGCGAUCGAUGGCGGUGAGGACGGGAAGGCACUAGGUAAACCACACCUACACAUAUGCAAACUAAGAUGUUAAUUGGAGCUCAAAUUACAUAUAAAUCAAAUAAACUCCCACAUAAUUACUCCCAAAUAAAAAUCCACAAAAGACUAUACUUAUAGAGCAUGAAAUGAGCUAAACUAGCAAUAAGAGAUGAAAGGACAAAGUUGCUAACCUUUUAAACACUUGGAUAGAUGGGGUGCCUCAAAUCUUGACAAAUCUUGGCAACAAUGGAGGAUGAGCUCGCGCUAGGGGGAAGGGAACAAAACAGAGAGAAAGGAGAAUGCUUAGACUCGGGUUGGAAGAAGGAUAUAGGGAUAUCUUUAGUCCCGGUUGGUGACACAAACCGGGACUAAAGGUCAACCUCUAGUCCUGGUUGGUGAUACCAACCGGGACUAUAGGGGCUCGCAGGGGCCCAGACUGACGCCAGUAGGGCACCACCCCCUUUAGUCUCGGUUGGUAUCACCAACCGGGACUAGAGAUGGUCGUGGCAUCGUCCGCUCCUAGCCAUUGGAACAGAGACAAGUGGUCCCAUUAGUCCCGGUCCAAAACCCGGCCGGGACUAAUGCUACAGACGAAAGACCUGUUUUCUACUAGUGACAACACACACUAAAAUUUCGCGGACUAAAAACAAAGACAUAUAAUACCAAAGUUUUCCCUAAGAGUAGGAAGAAAAAAUAAAAACCCAAAGUAAUGACGAUGUACAACAGUGACCAUCCGUGCCAACAAUCUUUUACAACACAAGGACUACCAGAAGGAUUAUCAAAAAGUGAUACCUCCAGGAGGGAAGCAACAUACAAGGCUGCCAUCCCUGGAUGCAACCACUGACGGUCAGAUCAUGGUUUUUCACCUUGAACAUUAAAUCUGAGAAAAAUCCGAGCUAGGUUUAUAGAAAACUACCUAGUCGGUAUUUCGAUGCAAAAAUUGCCGUGUUUCUAAUAAUUUUUUUGCAGAAAGCACUGAUGGCUUACCUUGCUGCGUUUAAUCGCAUUUCCGACAGGUGGGGCCAGUUCGUCAGGAGCUGACUUAGGCAAAAAGUCGCCACAUGUGCGCAUUGACUGAGUUUUCAUCCUUCUCCUUUCCCGUUCUAUCACACAUUUUAUCAAACACAUGGUGUACGUGCACUGAACGAGGUGACCUAGUUUUCUUGUGUCCAUUUUCUUGCAAGAUCGAUGGUCUGCAAUAUGGGGCCAGUGGCGGUGCCACAGUCUUCAGCAGGUAGCGUCUCUGCAAGGACACCCCACUCCUUCCACAGCUGGUCACCGAGCUCUAGCUGCUGCACGCCACCAGCCAGAUUCAGUAAACUAAAUCUGUUGAGCAGUACUGAUUCUAAGAUUAGUCCCCAGAGCAAAGUAGUCAUCACCCAUGGUUGCAGAUAUAAUAAAACUACAUCUAACUCUUGCAUGCAUGAGUGAGUGCACAAAUCUCACCAGAAACAAAUGGAUUGCUAUUUGCUGUGAGAGUGAGCAAAAAUUCCCCUGUUCUGAGAGAGAUGUCUGAGACAUUAAUCACUCCAAGAUACUGCUGCUAAAGAUGUAGUGAUCGAUCGGUCUCGUGAGCUGCUGCUGGGGAAAAGAAGAGUCGCAAUCCAUUCCUCAACUAAAGCUAGUGUGAAGAGCGCACGGUCUCCAACCAGCUGGAAUCUUCACAGGCCCAUCAUGAAGAUCCAAAGAUAAGCAAGCACUGUAUACCGGCGUCAUUGCUUCAUCCAUCCAUCCAUAAUUCCGUAUACAGACAGCACAGCACAACACCUGUCAAAGGUGAGAAAGUCCCCUUAAAAACAAGUACUAGUAAGUUUCCUCUACACGUUUUGGCACUGAUUCCAGAAACCAUUAGCGUGAAUACGUUGUUUCUGACCAUAUCAGGGUCGUUUUAUCAUGCAUCACGUACUACACCAGACAUGGGUCGGCUAGGGGAGGGAAUUAAUAUAUACACGUCCGUUGCUUUUUCUCGUUGCGGCCUUGAUUUCAUUGAUUAUAUGUAAUGCUUUUGUGCUUAUUGGUAUUUAGUUCAAGGUCGCCCCAUGGCACAUUGAAGAAGAAUAGUUCCGGCUCAUGGGUAGGGAUGACAGUUUUGCUCAUCGGUAUGGGUACCCGCGGGUACCCUACGCGAAAACAAUGGGUAUGGGCAAGACUUGAAGAGAUUUUCUACCCACUGGUAAUGGGUAUCCAUACCCGCAAAAUAUAUGGGUAGGGCAUGGGUAAAAAAUUGAGCCCAUGGAUAACCCAAUGGAUACCCAAAAAAAAUUUAAUAAAUGAAAAUAACGCCUAUAACAUGUGGGGUUAACAUCCAACUCAUAUGGUCCAACCCUAAAUCUCGUAUUCCUUAAACAAGUCAUAGCUCAUAGGCUUAUAAUCACCUGCUCGCCACUCCUCAUACGUCCUAUGUGACUCCUCAAAAAUAUGAAAUAUUGACUCUUCGCUACCAGACUCUUGUCAAACACUUGAUCCAGCGAUCCCCAAUCCCCACCACCGCCUUCCACUACGUCAGCCUUCCACCAACCGCUGCUCAUACUCCUCUGAUGCCUCCAAGAGGCCGCCCACUGGAGGAGGCCACAUACGUGCUAUACUACUCUACCACGAUCACUUGAAUUUUGAACUCAUUUUUCUACCUCUUAAGAAUUUAAAUGCUAUUUAUUGUACCCAAUGGAUACCCAUUGGGUAUAGGAUACCAGAUGGAUACCCAUUGGGUAUAGGAUACCCGAUGGGUAUGGGCAUGGGUGUCAGUCUAUAUCCAUGGGUAUUGAAGUGGUGGGUAUAAACAGUUUCUAUGGGUAUGGGUUUGGGUAGAAGGAAGUUUUACCCGUCCAUACCCUAUCCAUUGCCAUCCCUACAUGGGGGGACAAGCGAGGUCGACAUGCUUGCUCUGCCCAGCGCCGGCCCUAGAGGAUGGACCAAUAAUCAGUUGUUAGCACUCCUUCACAAAAUUGAUAAAGAUACACGAGAGUCUCGCAAAAUUGUUGGUCUCAUGAGAGUCCCGCAGCUUUAGCGUGAGAGGAAGAGUGCCACAGUGCGGUGCAAAAUGUUAAAGAACAUGAUAGUAACACGACCUUAAUUAAUAUGGAAAGAGGGUUUUGAGAGGGACUAAAGAUACACGAGAGAUUGAAGUUGUGAAGAUUCACAUGCUAAUAAUCCUCAUGAUAAGUAGUUUAUUUAUAUCUUGAAUAUAGGUUACAACGGUGCCCUAAAGAGUAAUGACUAUAUAGUUUUGUUUUCUGAUUAAUAUGACAGUCUCAACAUGUAACUCCAACCGUAAAGAACAAGAUAUACGCUACUCUUUUCUAUUUUAGUGAACAAAUAUUUCAG